UCGAAAGCUUGUUCUUCACCAAGGUUCACAGGCCAGCCGACCAAGUCGGUCAAGAAGUCCAGAAGCUACUUUCUUACAAAAACGAAAGUGGAUGGGCUGUGCUCAGCAAAGGGCAUUCUGUGGUGCUCACCGGCCACGGUGUCUCGAUCUUGAGGGUGGUAGAGGACUUUGACAAAUGGAAGGACCAUGUGAAAGAGAGGGGCUUUGAGUUUUGCUUCAAGUCAUACCAUGAGAGGGUUCGCACUGUGAGUCGACCUUGCUGCCGCCUUGAUAUUCCGGGCUCUACCGGGAAGGUUCCAGACACCAUGAAGUGUCCUGAUUGCCACCGGAGCAUGGAGACUUUCAUCAGUUACAAGUGUUGCCACAUUGAUGGUCCUACUGCACAUCACUAAGUUCUCGGUCUCCUUCCCUUUACUACUUCAAGUGUGAUGUUGGCUAGUCUAAUAAGUUCAGAGUAGUAUGUUGUAAUAUCUAUAUAAAGGGCAACCUAGUUAGCUCAUGCAUGGUGAUACUUGAUGCCUAAUUAAUGGGGACUAGUAUGCUUAUGUAAUUGUCUUCCUGAGUAUGUUUUCAUGGUAUGUAGCUGCUACUUUAUGUAAUGUAAUGUUUAUUUGAAUAAUUUGAGAUGUCUACAUUUCCCUUGGUGUGUAUAUGAAUUAUCACUUACUUCAAAUUGUUCUGACUUAUAUUUGAGGAAAAUAACUUCAAAUCUAAGUCCUUGGACGUUUUAAAAAUUCAAGAAAUCAUCAAACGUGUUUCCAAGCUGAUUGAUUGAAGUUCCUUCAUCACCCUUGCGCGCAAUUACAGUUAGUAAAAAAGUUGAGUUUGAGGUUACCAACUUUUCGUAAUUAGCUUAGCUAAGUCCCACUAGAACCUACAUUAUAAAACCAAUUAUCCAUACAAAACUUGUAAACGAUUCAAAAUAUAAACCAUAUAUAAUGUAUGUGUUUAGAGGGACAAAUAAAAUAAAAUGAGAAUCCUAGUUGCUGUUAAGGAAUUUGACUCCGAGUUUGGCCAAUUGAAUAUAGGUGUUAAAUUUUCUUCAUGUCUAAUAGAUUUGUCAAAUAUUUAUUUUAUUAAUAUUUUGGGCCCCAUAGUUACAUUAAGUAUUAAAAAAUAAUUCAAAUUGAUUUUAGUUUUCAUCCUGUUAGUUGUCAAUGGAACCCAUGCAUUAAAAAAUAAAUUAAAGGCAUUUGACUCCAUCUUUGUUUGUUGUAUAAAAAGGUAGCUAGAAAGUAAGGAGUUAAAUAACUCAGCUGCCACGUCAAUUAUGGCAUCUCCAUUAGAGGAAACCUUGAUGUCUAAAUUAUUAUACUUCUUUACCGACAAAAUUGGCAUAAUUGUUGAAAUAAAUACUCAAAAUUGAAAACAAAAUUGAAAGCUUACAUAAAUCAAUCUUCAUGUACCCCAAGGUCGGUCUCAAGGGUAUGCAACUGGUGCCACCGCACAAGGCCCCGAUUUUUCUUUUUGACAUGUAUGUAUAUAUUGUAGAAAACUAGCAUACUAUGUAUUUAGCGCAAGUGGCAUUUGUGCUUGGUUUCUUGUCCAAUUGUUGGAAACUUUUGUUUACUUUUCAGUUUUUAUGUACUAAAGGCAUGUUUACGUAUAUUGAAUGAAUUUCUAAGAAAGGGGUACCAUUCCUAUAUUUUGUGUUACUAAUAACCAAGGAUUUGACGUAAAGCAGCUCACCGUUCCAAGGUUUUGAUAGGAUUGGCGCUCAGCCGAUGUGCUCCUUUAGUUUGUUGAAUGCCUGUUGACAUUCCUCCGUCCAUUCAAUCGUUCACAUAGCUCCAUGGAAUGCCUUGAAAAUAAGUAGGCACCGGUCCGUUGAUCUCCAGAUGAACUGGCUCAAGGCCGCUACUCGUCCGGUGACGCUCUACAUCUCCUUCUUUGUUCAUGGUGAUGCCAUAUUGAUGAGGGCCUAUAUCUUUUAUUGGUUGACCUCUAUCCCUGUUUGUCUUACCACCCCAAAAACUUCCAUGAGCCGACCGCCAAGGCGCAUUUCACAGGAUUCAACUUCAUCCCGCAUGUGUUGAGGAUGUUAAACACUUUAGUUAGUUCUGCCACAUGCUAGUUUUCUUUUCUGCUCUUCACAAGCAUGUCUUCCAUAUAAACUGUAAUACCCGGAAAAUUUAAAUAUAUAAAUAUGUGAGGAGCAAUAAAAAAAAUAAUCGAUUUAUGGUUGUGAAAAUUUAAUUGAGAAAUUUAAAAAAAAAAUUUCUUCUAGAAAUUUAUAUAAUUUAAGUCGUAAAAUUUUAUCUGGAUAAGGGGAAAAGACGAAAAUGGCCCUAGUUGGCUAAAGUUAAUUAUACGAGGACAUAUUUUAUCCUCAUAUUUUCUAUCGUAUUUCUUGACAUAUUUGGAUAUAGCUCGACCUCACGAACACGUAGGCGCAAACCGUUUGUGAAAUGGAAUUAUAACGAAUAAGUUUUUAAUGAACGAAGUUAGGGGCAAAAUGGUAAUCUAAUCAUUAAUCUGGAAGGCUCCAGAUUUGUUGGAGAGUGGAUAUGGUGCCAUGUGUGUGGCUGAGAUUGAAGGAAUGGAAGAGAAAGGAAAAGGGGGCUGCCAAUCGAAGAAAGGGAAAAAGAAGGGAGGGCAAAUGAGAGGAGAUAGCAAGGAGGGCAAGGAGAAAGAGUGAGAACUAGCCAACCACACCCAUGACCCGGUUCCAUAUUGCGACCCAGUUUCAAAUCGAUUGUGUUUGUUGAUUUUUCCGUCGUUUUCCAGCGAUCCAAGGCUUGCCACAUCCUGUGCUUGACUCCACGACCCUCCUUCAAGUUCCACCCCAAACCCGAUGGUUUUUUAUGGUGGUUUCUUGGAAAUAGCCCCAACGACGCCAUGGGGAGACUGACGGAAAUCUGCCACUUCUAAAGGUGAUUCCUUUAAUCACCACUACCCCUAGACACCUCUUGAACCCAAGAACACACCCCAAACAACUAUAAGAGCGGCGGAGUACCGGAUGUGAUGGAUUGAAGUCACCCAUUUCUAGGGUUUCCGGUAAUUUCGAGGGAAAUUGGGGCUUUUCCCGGCCAAAUUGGACUUGGCCACAAGUAUAAAACUUACUCUACUCAUUAAGAUCUUCAUUUCAGUAAAAUUUGGAAAUUUUUAGAGUUAGUUGGAAAAAUUGGGUUUCCGUUCACCGGAAACCGCCACCUACAACGGCGCAUGGCCAGAGGACUGAAGCUGUCCUUUUAAGUUAAUUUCGAUAUUCUUAAUGCAUUUAUGAUAUGCAGUUGGUGUGAAUCAUUUGUUUGAACCUAGUUCCGUGAUUGGUAGUCACUUGUUUGAUUUUGGAAAUGGAUUAAAAGCAACUGGUGAACUACAAAAGGCUUGAUCCUGCAUCAAGGUUACGUAGGCUGUCUAACAGGGGUUAGAUAUAGUCUUAAAUAACUGAGAGUAAUCUUUUGUGGGAAUGUGAUUGAAGAAAUGAAAUUUUGAUGAUUAUUUGGAAAUUAAAACUGAUGGUUUAGUAAGUAAAUUUUUGGUUAGAUUUUGUGAGUGAUUAAGAAAUUUUAAAUAAAAAUUGUGAUCAAUUGGUAGUUAAUUAAACAAGAGUUUAAUUUUGGCCUACCACCGAAAUCAUUUUCCGAAAUAAAAUUUUAGGGUCGGGGCGUUACAUAAACCUCCAUCGUCUUCCCUACACGUCUUAUUGUCUUGGUCGGUCGAGUGCAUGUAGAUCUAGUUGUUCUCCUAUAAAGCAUUGAGGAAAGUUAAAAGUUCGCAUCCUGUCGUAGCAUCCAAGAGUCGGUUGAUACUUGGCAACGGAAAAUAGUUCUUUGAAAAUACCCAUUGAAAUCCAUGUAGUCUAUACAUAUGCACAAUUUGGUCAGUUUUUUUACUGUCGUUGCUUUUUUUACCACCAUUACAUUUGCCACCCACCAUGGGUAAUCUACCUUUAUGAUGAAACUGAUUCUAAGCAGUUUGUCUACCUCAACCAAUAUGGCCUCAUAACCUUUUGCGUAAGACUGUUGUUUAUGCCGAAUAGGCCUUCAAUGUGGAUCAAUACUGAACUUAUGAGAGAUGACACUCAAAUCUAUUCCGGGCAUAUCUGCAUACGACCAGGCAAAUACAUUAGUGUUGGCCCUUGACAAUUUUAUCAGCUCUGCUUGGACUUUCACAAUUAACUUUGUGUUGAUCAUGACAGUCUAGUCGGACAUUCUCCUAACAACACAAUUGUUUUCAAUUCUUUCAUGAGCUCAGGUAUUCUCGGAUCUCGUCGUCUCUCGAGUUAGGUGUUGCUGUCUUUCAGUUGAGGGGAGAUAAAUUCCGUCGAGCGCCCGGGUAUGAUAUAGAGUUCUCCCCGCUACUCUUCUUAUCUCACUGGCCAUACGGCUACAAAUAGGUUGAGCAUCAUUUUUUCUUCUCUGGUUCAUCAUGAUAUCUAACAUGGUGAUUCUUCCUUGCCGCAAAGUGUGUCUUGGAUUUGCUGGGUAGAAAUAAAAACCAAAUUGUAUGCAUUUCUUACAGACAGCGCUAAACUACUAAGGUUCUAAAUUUGCAAGUCAAACACAGACGAAUCCAGGUGUAUACUCACAAAUUUUAAACCUGAUAAUCAAAGGUGUUUAACCCUUGGUAGGCUUCAGGAUGUUGAUUGAAAAUGAAAUGGACCCAGACUUAAAUGGUUCACCCCACAAAACUAAGGUUCAUUCAUAAUGUUGCAUGAAUUCUAUGAAGGAGAAUAUUUGAUAAACUAAGUUCAUUGAGCAACACAAUACAUACAUUUAACAAUUAAAUGGUGGAAGCAUGCUUGUAUGCACUUUAAAACAAAACUUAAACUACGAAAUUCAAAGCCUAGUAGUAGAGGUGAACCAAGACUUAACUUUAAACACAAAGAGAGUUUAGAAACAUUAUACCUUUGAACACAAUGAGUGACAAUGGAAGAACAAAAUGCUAUCAAUGUUCUCCAUGGUGGCUAGCCUAUCUAAGGAAGGAGAUAGUUUGUGUUUCUCCCUCUUUGCCUCAUAGAAAAUCCUAAUGAGGGAUGGAGUUACAAAGUUACCUUUAUACCUCAUUCUAAGUGAUUAGCAAACUUGUAAUAAGUAAACCAUCACUCCUUUUCGCUUUGGCUAGUUUAUGUAGUUAUGUUUGUUAAUUCUCAUUUUGUUUUAGUUGUCAUAGAACUUAACUCAAUGGGUCUUGUGGACCAAAACUCAUUUUGGGUCCUAAAACAUGAAACUUAUUUAAAGCCUGAUUUGAACAUUUCGCAUGAUUAAUUAAUAUAUUAAUUAAUCUUUGUCAUAUACAAUUAAACUAUUUAAUUGUCCUUACUUAUCUUCAUUAUAUUCGUCAAUUAUUACCCUACACAAUGUGCGACCCAUUUGGUUCCUUUUAGCGAGACAGUGGGCAAUUAGAACUCUUAGUCUUUUACUAGUUGAUUGUGAAUUGAAACUUACAUUCAAUUCUCCUUUUAGUGAUUAUACAUCUUCAAGGCUUCCACAAACCAUGAGCAACACCUAGCAGCAUGUUAUGGCUACUCAAGCUAAUCAAAAGAGGUUGGAGAACCUAUUCAGUUUCGUAUUACAAUGCAAUAUGGUCUUUCAACGGUUUAAAGGGUAGAAAUCCUUUGUUGCACCUUUGUUGCACAUUCACACGUCUCCAUGAUUAAGUGGUUUAGCCCUAACUAUGCAUGGACAAUAUCUAAUGGAGUGCCUUUAACAUAGUCAGAGAUUAAAGACCUAACCACAAGACAACUAUGAUGUCUCAAGUCAAAGGACUACUUUGCAUUAUUUCAAUUAUGAGUUCUCAUGCGACAUGAGUAUGAGAACUCCUUGUCGAUCACAUUCAGUGGAUGCACUCUUUAUUAAGCACCUACAUACUUGUCUUAGUGUCAUUCACACCAAUGACUCGAGACCAGUCACUCUCCUCGAGAGAAGACAUAAUAUGUACUAAUCUACAAGAAUCAUUAAUGCUAUAUUAGCAAUCCUAUGAUCAAGAACAUUUAGGAUAUGUGUAUGAAAUAGAAUGGUCUGGUGAAUCUUAAUUCUUUAGAUCAUUCUCCUAACUACAUAUUCCUUGGAGUUAUCGUUUAAGCGUAUAACAUUUAAUAGGACGGCUUUAAACCAUAAUCUUUACCUUUACACUGAACUAAUUUAGUUUAACAUGUGAAAUUUCUGUAAAGUAUCAUCUUACGAUUGAGUUAGGCAUAUUCCCAACAUUUUAUUGAUUAGCGGUAAGCUAAUACAUCAAUUUCUCUUUCUCAAAUCGUCUGACCUCAAUAUUGAGGGUUGCAACCCCUUUAUAUAGGCUUUUAGCGAACCCCUGUCCCUUGGGCUCUCCCUAACGAGCAUUUAAUGCACCACUCUUUGUAGGCUUGACCCCUGACACCUUUUCGCCAGCUAGCUUGGCAUUCGACGACAAAGAUAUGGGUAUCCAGUCCAGUGCACUCCUGCCCAAAAUAAAGUAGUCCAUUUCUCUGAGUCGGCCUCGGUUAUUCAGCCUAAUUUGUCCGAACGCCACUCCGACAUACUUUGUGUCCCAUCCGGGUCCUCGCCUUUUGACUUCAAGUCAUCCAUUAGUUUGAAUGACAUAUGAGCAGACCUUUUCACGAGGACUUGUGCAUCAAAGUUGUCAGUCUACCCAUAUGCUUUCAUCGGUCAGUGUUCAAUGUAAAUGUCAAUCGGUUGGCAUUGAAGCACUCGGGCAUGUUCUAUUCCAAGCUUGCCAGCCCUUGGGCCCAUUCCCAAUUUGGUACUUCUUUAUGGUUCUUAAAGUGCCCAUCAUUAACAAGGUACUCAAUAGAGAAUGAGUUCAUUAAACACGAUCAAACAUGACUUCACGUACUCAUGUCAUAUGAGAACUGACUAGUUAGAUAAUGCAAAGUAGUCAUUUGAUAUGAGAUUCCACAAUUGUCUUGUGGAUACGUCGUUGAGCAUUGGAUGAUGCAUCACAACCUUAUGGUUUGUCCACACAUUGUUCGGAUAACUGAUUUAUCCACAGAGGCAUGUAAGUGUACCAAAAGGGAUCUCUAGUCUUAAAACGAUUGAAGGAUAAUACUUUAUGAUAUGAUUCAAAGGUCUCUCGGCAGAGUACAUGAAAUGAUUAUAAAGUACAUUCCAAAUCACAUUCACAAUAAUCAUAUAGACAAGACAAUCACAUUGGACGAUAGACAUAAAUAAACUAUCAACCAAGCAAUGUGAUCAAGACAAUUGAUAUAGAGAAUGAUCAUAUUGCGUUGUAAUUCCAAGCUGAAUACAUUCUCCACCUCUUCUACUUAGCUUGUGUAGCCAUGACAUACUACUAGGUGUCACUUUUGGCUUGUGGAAGCCUUGAAUAUUAGCAAUCACUAAUCAUAAUCAAAGGAAAAAUUGAAAGACAGUUUUAAUUCACAAUCGAUUAGUAAGAGUUCUAAUUGCUCACUACCUCGCUAAUUAGAACCUAAUGGACGUUCACCGUGUAAGGUAGAAACUGAAGAAUACAACGUAGUUGAUUAAGAACAAUUAAGUAGUUUAAUUGUUUAUGAUGAGAUUAAUUAAUAUGUUAAUUAAUCGAACAUAUAAGUUCUAAAUAGGCCUAAGGUUAGUUUCAGGUUUCAUGGCCCAUUGGGAUUAAUUUGCUAAUUUGAUCCAAAUCACAAAUGGCCUAAAGGACCAAGGAUUGUCCAAAACCAGCCAUAAAGAAAAGGAUAAGGUGUUCACAUAUAUGUGAGCCCUAUAUAAGAGACUUCAUACUUCCGUCCUCACUUUGGGUUUUAUGUGAGAAAAGAGAGAUCGAGAGAAAACAAACCACUCGUCCCCUACACCAUAGCCAGCCACAUAGGAGGAAGAUUGCUUGCACUAUAUCUUCCUUCCAUGUCACUCAUCUCUUCUUUACAUCCUACUUUGGUGUGGAGACUUAGAGGCUUCCUUUCUUGGAAACUUUGGAGAUUCCUAUUUCACCAUCCAAAUCCAAGAAGCCAGAGUUCCAAAGGAGCAAAGGAGAGCAAAUGAAUGAAGACCAUCACUUGGGGGCAAUAGCCUUUGCAAAUGCAAACAGGAUCUACAAAGUUGUAAUGGUUUUUAGCUCUCUUGUGAAUUUGAGUUGAGUCAAGGUUCACCACACUACUAAGCUUUGAAUUUUAUGAGUAAAAUUUGUUUUUGAAUGCAUAUGAGUUAGCUUUCGCCUUUUAAUUGUUAAUUAUGCUAUGUAUGUUGCUCAAAUAAUCUUAGUUUAGCUAAUUUUUUUUCUUUCAUACACGCGCUCCACGUCACCUCAUUCGCAUCCAUGUGUUUGGUUUGAAAUUUCGUCACUCGUGAAAGAGCGUGUUAAGUAUGAAUUCCACUUUAGUGAGAGAAAUGACCUUACAUGAGCUUAUAACAAAUAAAUAGAAAACUAUAUUUUAAUCCCUAAUAAGAUGAAGUUUAGAUUAGUUCCUGGUAUAAGAUUCAAAAUUAAGUUUAGUCCCUAUAGGUUCUAGUUUGAAAUUUCAUGAUUUUUCUUUUUCAAAGUUUACACUAAUUCAUUAUAAUAAAAAUUCAGAAUAAUAAUUUGAAAAAUGUGAAAAGAAUACAAACGCAUGUGGUUGCAUCCUUUACGCUUACAUGAUGGUUAUAUUGUCAUUUAGAUUUUUAAAACUCUCCAAACCCUCAUAAAUAGUGUUUAUUGUUGUGUGCAAAAUUAAUGUAGAAGUGUGAAAAAUGUAAAAACAUAUACAAUCAACUCCGAAAUUCAACCAUAAUCCAUAAUCUCUUAUAUUUAACCGUCGAUUGUUGUUUACACUAUAUUCUUCUCACUAUAUUUCAUUUUUCAGAUUUUAUCUUUUGUAAACAUGAUCUUUUAAUGAAUGUAUAAAAAUGAAUGGUCGGACUGUUGAUAUCACGUUCCGAUGUUUAUGAUGAAUUAAAUAUGAGUCGAUGUUAUAUACUUUCUAGAGACUUUAUAACCUCCGAGCAAUAUUUUUACUAACCUUAAAAAUGUGAAUGUGAUAUCAACGAUCCGAACCGAUCAUCUUUUUGCAUCCGCUAAAGGAUCAUGUUUUAAAAAAAAAUUUGAAAAAACAAAAUUCGGUAAGAAGAAUGAGCGUAAGUGUAAAUUACAAUCAACUGUUAAAUUUAAAUCUAUGGUUUAUGGGAUUAUGGUGGCGAAUUUCGGAGUUGACAUCUUCAAAAAGUUGUAGAGCUUCUCAUUACGAGCAUUGUAUAUACUUUUUAUAUUUUCUUCACACGUCUACAUUAACUAAAAUCCCAAGAGACAUUCUUUGGAGGAUUUUAGAGAAGAAAGGAGUACGAGUAGCAUAUAUCCAAGCUAUAAAGGAUAUGUAUGAAGGAGCAAAGACUGCCGUAAGAACUCAUGAAGGACAAACCGAAAGCUUUCCCAUAACUGUAGGAUUACAUCAAGGCUCAUCCUUAAGUCCUUACCUUUUUGCGUUGGUAAUGGAUGAGUUAACAGGACAUAUUCAAGAUGAUAUUCCUUGGUGUAUGCUUUUCGCAGACGAUAUAGUGUUGAUAGAUGAAACUCAGGAAGGGGUAAAUGCAAAGCUUAACCUUUGGAGAGAAGUGUUGGAAUCUAAAGGUCUUCGCCUAAGCCGAUCAAAGACAGAAUAUAUGGAGUGCAAGUUCAGUGCAAAUGGAGGCCAAAACGAGUUAGGGGUGAGGAUCGGAGAUCAAGAAAUACCAAAGAGCGACCGUUUUCGUUACCUAGGAUCUAUCUUGCAAAAGAACGGAGAAUUAGAUGGAGAUCUCAACCAUAGAAUACAAGCUGGAUGGAUGAAGUGGAAGAGUGCAUCCGGCGUGUUGUGUGACCGCCGUAUGCCACUGAAGCUCAAGGGAAAAUUUUAUAGGACGGCAAUAAGGCCGGCGAUGCUGUAUGGCACAGAAUGUUGGGCGGUGAAACAUCAACACGUACACAAAAUGGGUGUAGCGGAGAUGAGGAUGCUUCGUUGGAUGUGUGGGCACACGAGAAAGGAUAAGAUUAGGAAUGAGGAUAUCCGGGGUAAAGUAGGAGUAGCCGAAAUUGAAGGAAAGAUGAGAGAAAAUCGGUUACGGUGGUUUGGACAUGUGCAAAGAAGGCCUACUGACGCUCCGAUUAGAAGAUGCGACUAUGGGACAGAGGUUCAGGGCCGAAGGGGUAGAGGAAGACCUAGGAAAACUUUGGAAGAGACUCUAAGAAAAGACUUAGAGUACUUGGAUCUAACGAAGGACAUGACACAGGAUCGAGCACAAUGGCGUUCUAAGAUUCAUAUAGCCGAUCCCACUCAGUGACUUGGAUUUUCCAAGUCUCCAACCGAGAAGUUUUCCUCACUCGGGAAAUUAAGGGAACACUACCCCAACCUACAUGCUCCACUCAGAAAGCUUCAACAUACAAGCUUCAACAAAAGAAAAUUCAAAGAACUUAGCGAAGAAGGCUUUGGUGUAUUUAACACAAUACGUUGAAAUGAAGGAAAAAGCUUAUUUAUUGAUAUCCCCGAUAAGCUACAAAUAUGUACAUAUACAUGAGUCAAAAUAAACACACAAGAGGGAGCCUUCACAAAGGUUGCUUAGGAGAAGUCUCAGCAGUCGGUAGAGCCCCAGAAAGAGAAGGCACCGGAGGGGGAUCAUUUGGAGCCUCAGUACUGGACAGAACCCUAGAAGGAGGAGGCAUCAGAGGUUGAUCAUUUGGAGCUUCAUUACGCGGUACAGCCCCAGAAGACGAAGGCAAUAAAUGCCUUUGGAACAAACCCACAAAUCUCUGAUGAUCAAGUAAAACCUGACCAUCAGUUUCCUUCAUCUGGUCAAGCUUCCUCUUCAUGUUUGUAGCAUAGUCAUGUGCGAGCCGGUGCAACUGUUUAUUCUCAUGCUUGAGCCCUCUAAUCUCCUGUUUGAGACUCAUCACUUCAGCCGCCAAUGAUUCAACUUGGCGGGUUCGAGCAAAUAGGCGUUGGGCCAUAUUAGACACAGAACCUGCACACUGAACACUGAGAGCCAGCGAAUCCUUAACAGCUAACUCAUCAGACCGUUUGGAAAGUAGUCUGUUAUCUUUGGGAGUGAGAAGGUUCCUGGCCACCACCGCAGCGGUCAUAUCAUUCUUCAUCACGGAAUCCCCAACGGUAAGAGGACCAGUAGGGGAGACGAAGGAUGGGCGCCAUAUGUUGUCUGGAGAAGGCGGGGCUGCCUCUUCAACAAGGUUCAAGUCAAAACGACGGUCGGAGGGGCCAGACAUUUUCAAAGGUGUUGAAGAGAGAAGAGGUCGGACAAAUCAAGAUCUUAGAAGUGCAAGAAUGAAGCUUCUACUGGUGGAGAUUCAAGUGUGCUUUGGAACUUAAUGCCAGCCCCUAUAAAAAUCUGCACUCGACGGAGCUUCAGAAAUCGAAGAGGCGCCUGCUCAGAAAUCGAAGAGGCGUUUGCUUUCUCAAAAGCUGGGCUGCUUAGAGAUCACGAGGGUUGAUCUCAGAAAUCGAAGAGGCGUUUGCUUUCUCAAAAGUUGGGCUGCUCAAAGACCACGAAGGCCGAUCUCAGAAAUCGAAGAGGCGCUCGCUUUCUCAAAAGCUGGGCUCCCCAGAGACCACGAGGGCCGAUCUCAGAAAUCGAAGAGGCACCUACUUUUUCCAGCCUUGUCAGCACCUGUCACACGCACACUCAGCUUUGCGGAAAUUAUGGGCAUUCUGUCAAAGACUUCUGGGGAAGUAGAAAACACAUGAAUCUUACUGUUCAAUCACCCACUUCCCACACGCAACAAUAGCUCAUGGGUACCACAGAUAACUUUGCCAAAGUUCUCUGCCAAAGUUGAGCACGUGAAGCUUGCAGCUCCCACUACAUCGCUCUGACCAAGAAGGGUAAAAGAAUAGCAAAGAAACAGCACUAACAAAGUUUAGACCCAUAAAUUUUGAAGGUCUAGCUACCAUAUUAUUACCCACAAGGGUAAAGGAACAGUACCACUGCUGGAUAAUUGGAAAGUCCCUGUGUGUCAACCUCUGUGCUUCGUGGCAAGGUAGACUAGCAAACAUGCCCAACCUUUACUCACAUUCGAGAAAACACUCCCAAUAAGAUUGCUUGCUCCAAAAUCGAAGAGGCACCGUCCUCCGAAUCUCGAGAGCCAGACUCCCAACAUGACUACUUUCUUAAAAAUCGAAGAGAGGGUAAAGGAACAGUACCAUUGCUGGAUAAUUGGAAAGUCCCUGUGUGUCAACCUCUGUGCUUCGUGGCAAGGUAGACUAGCAAACAUGCCCAACCUUUACUCACAUUCGAGAAAAACACUCCCAACAAGAUUGCUUGCUCCAAAAUCGAAGAGGCACCGCCCUCCGAAUCUCGAGAGCCAGACUCUCCCAACAUGAUUACUUUCUCAAAAAUCGAAGAGACACUGCUCCCCGAAUCUCGAGAGCCAGACCCCCAGCAUGAUUGCUUUCUCAAAAAUCGAUGAGGCAUCGUUCUCCGAAUCAAUCGAAGAGGCGCUCGCUUUCUCAAAAGCUGGGCUGCUCAGAGACCACGAGGGCCGAUCUCAGAAAUCGAAGAGGCACCUACUUUUCUAGCCUUGUCAGCACCUGUCACACGCACACUCAGCUUUGCAGAAAUUAUGGGCAUUCUGUCGAAGACUUCUGGUGAAGUAGAAAGCACAUGAAUCUUACUGUUCAAUCACCCACUUCCCACACGCAACAAUAGCUCAUGGGUACCACAGAUAACUUUGCCAAAGUUCUCUGCCAAAGUUGAGCACGUGAAGCUUGCAGCUCCCACUACAUCGCUCUGACCAAGAAAGGUAAAAGAAUAGCAAAGAAACAGCACUAACAAAGUUUAGACACAUAAAUUUUGAAGGUCUAGCUACCAUAUUAUUACCCACAAGGGUAAAGGAACAGUACCACUGCUGGAUAAUUGGAAAGUCCCUGUGUGUCAACCUCUGUGCUUCGUGGCAAGGUAGACUAGCAAACAUGCCCAACCUUUACUCACAUUCGAGAAAACACUCCCAACAAGAUUGCUUGCUCCAAAAUCGAAGAGGCACCGUCCUCCGAAUCUCGAGAGCCAGACUCCCAACAUGACUACUUUCUCAAAAUCGAAGAGAGGGUAAAGGAACAGUACCAUUGCUGGAUAAUUGGAAAGUCCCUGUGUGUCAACCUUUGUGCUUCGUGGCAAGGUAGACUAGCAAACAUGCCCAACCUUUACUCACAUUCGAGACAACACUCCCAACAAGAUUGCUUGCUCCAAAAUCGAAGAGGCACCGCCCUCCGAAUCUCGAGAGCCAGACUCCCAACAUGAUUACUUCCUCAAAAAUCGAAGAGACACUGCUCUCCGAAUCUCGAGAGUCCAGACCCCCAGCAUGAUUGCUUUCUCAAAAAUCGAAGAGGCAUCGUUCUCCGAAUCUCGAGAGCCAGAUACCACAGACCACUUUUUCAAAGUGCUCUGACAGAGUUAAAACAUGUGAAACUGGCAGCUCCCACUACCGUGCUAUGACCAAGCAGGGUAAAGGAAUAGCAUUACUACUUGUUGUUAGGGAGACUCCUAUAUAUGUCGACCUCCAUCCCCAACGGACAGGCAGACCUGCAAAAAUGCUCAACCCUUCAUCAUAUCUGAGAGGGCACUCCCAACGAAGCCUUUCGAAAUAUUCAGCUUUCUUUCCCCCCGAUAAUACCUCUGCAAACAAGCUAUACUAGAGCAAGAAUAUCUCAUAUCAUCAGGGUUAAAAGCAAGAGUAUCCCAUAUCAUGCUUUUUCCCUGUCUUUUCUUUUGGCCUUGUUUUUACCUGCAAGACAAGGAGAAAGAGAGCAAUCAGUCAGCACUUGGAAUCAAGCUUCCAGCCAGGAACUGACUGCCUGGAACCCCUUACCUGAUUACUUACCUGGCAUUGCUCUCGAGUACUCAUCUUCAACAUCUUAUGUUUCCAGGGAAGAUUCCGCAUCUGCUUGAGGAACAGAUAGGGCAAGUGCGAAGGAUACAAGGAAGCAUGUGGAGACAAGCGUAACAGCACACGUGCCGAUACAUCCAUUACUCUGUCAAAAGCAAAAGUAUCCCAUAUCAGCAGGGUGGAACGUACUCUAGAUUUGAUGGACUUGUUUUGACCCUCAAAUUCUUCAGUCGGCCUUAUACUCUGGAGGAAACCAGAAAACCCUCCAGCUCAGUUCAAGAAUAAGCCUGUGGAAAGUUACUUCUUCAAAAGCAAAAGUAUCUCAUAUCAUCUCUUCUCAUUUUUCUUCUCUUUAUCCUUCAUGCUGCUGCAAGAUGGGGAGAAGGUGAACAAUCAGUCGGAGCUCUGAUUGCUUACCUUGUCUGUCACCUCUUUCAGCAGACCCCCUAGCUCGGCGACUUGGGGGACUCCUACUACAUGGUUUGUAUCGCGCUUGACCAAGCCUGAAACUACAAGUAAGCUUCAAGUGAAAUUGAUACAUUACCUUGUGCAUCUCCACCAGUUAAAGAUACCACCCCUGGAUGGAGGAAGAGUACUUCCAGAGAAGAUGCCACAUCUACCUAUGAGACAGAUAAGGCAAGUCAAGACGACACCACACUCCGAUACUUAGAAGUUUCGUGAUUACGAGAUCAUUCUCCCACAAUAUUUCCUAAUGUCAUUUGUACUAAAUCAUUCACUUGUACUCACUAAAGGAGAGCUUGAACCUAUGUACUUGUGUAAACCCUUCACAAUUAAUGAGAACUCUUCUAUUCCGUGGACGUAGCCAAUCUGGGUGAACCACGUACAUCUUGUGUUUGCUUUCCUAUCUCUAUCCAUUUAUAUACUUAUCCACACUAAUGACCGGAGCAAUCUAGCGAAGAUCACAAAAAGCGACCGUUUUCGCUACCUAGGAUCUAUCUUGCAAGAGAACGGAGAAUUAGAUGGAGAUCUCAACCAUAGAAUACGAGCUGGAUGGAUGGAAAGAGUGCAUCCGGCGUGUUGUGUGACCGUCGUAGGCCACUGAAGCUCAAGGGAAAAUUUUAUAGGACGGCAAUAAGGCCAGCGAUGUUGUAUGGCACAGAAUGUUGGGUGGUGAAGCAUCAACACGUACACAAAAUGGGUGUAGCGGAGAUGAGGAUGCUUCGUGGGAUGUGUGGGCACACGAGAAAGGAUAAGAUUGGGAAUGAGGAUAUCCGAGGUAAAGUAGGAGUAGCCGAAAUUGUAGGAAAGAUGAGAGAAAAUCGGCUCCGGUGAUUUGGACAUGUGCAAAGAAGGCCGACUGACGCUCCGGUUCGAAGAUGUGACUACGGGACAGAGGUUCAGGGCCGAAGGGGUAGAGGAAGACCUAGGAAAACUUUGGAAGAGACUCUAAGAAAAGGCUUAGAGUACUUGGAUCUAACGGAGGACAUGACACAAAACCGAGCGCAAUGGCGUUCUAGGAUUCAUAUAGCCGACCCCACUUAGUGGGAAAAGGCUUUGUUGUUGUUGUUGUUGUUGUUGUCAAAUAAAAUCUACCAAGUGUUUUCCUAGGUUAGAUGCAUGAAACCAAGAAGUUGAUUAAUUUUCCUUGCAUCCUUGGAAGUGACUCCCCCCUUCGAUAAUGAAAAAUGUUGAUCAUUUGCCCUACAACUAAUAAUCGGAUAAAAGUUCCUUUACAAGACAAAAUUUUAUUCGUCGAGUAAAAAAUUGUAGGAAAAAUUAUAUUUUUUGGCUGUGACACUCUUUGUAGUUUUCUCAAACUCACUAUAAUGGCCAAUUCCUAACAUGUUCACCACGAGAGCUUGGAUCCCAUGGCACGAUAAUUCUAGUCUAGUUGACUUUAUUUGCUCUCAAAUAUAUUGUUCUUGUCUCAUUCAGUGGGGUAUAUGUCCAUUCUGUCCCCACAAAUUGUACAACGGUUAAAUGUAAUUUUGUAUUGUAGUUAAAAAAAUGUGUUACUUAAUAUUACGGUUUGGAGGUUAUUUUUUUUUUUUUAAAAUUUUUUAUAAGUGAAAGGUCUUAAGUUUGAUUUUUGCUUUGAACCACAUUAUUGUUAGCACAUUAUAAGACUAAACCCAUCCCCUCCCCUUUAAUGUAGAUAAUAUCAUUUUUAGAAAAAAAAAAUGAAUAUAGUGUUAUUAAAUUUUCUUUGAGAAUAUUUUUUUGUAUUGUCUAGUAAACAUGAUUUUGAGGAAGACCAUUCUAAUAUUGAUGAAAAAGGUUAAGUUACAUCAUACAUUGCUUCUUUUGGUUUAUACUUAAUUCUCUUUUCUGCUGGUUCCAUGGCCUAUUUUCUUGGCACGCUGGCACAGUUAUAUUGGAAAAUAAUUCUGUAGGUAACGUGUCCCAUUAUGAUGAGUUAUUGAGCAAUAGAGUAACUAUAGGUUUUUGUUAUAGUAGGAAUAAGAUAAAGAACACAUCUGUUGUUAACUUUCUUUUGUAAGUUCUUCCAAUUUUUAUUUUUAUUUUUGAAUAAACAAUAUUAUUUACACUAAUGUGGUGGUAUAGCUGGCUAAGUCUCAAAAUAGGCUAGCAAUAAUGUAAUUCAAAUUUGCCUUUGGUAAGAUUUUAACCUAAAAAUUCGGUUUUAAUUUCACACCUUAUCUAUCUAUGUCAUUUCCCCAUAUCCUUAUCAGUAAGCAUGUGUGUUGACCUUAAAAACUACUUAGCCUAUGUGGCGUUUAGGCCAAGUAAUUAAUAAGCUACCUAAGUCCUUUAGUCGAAUGCCGGGCGUACCAACUCGUCGGUUGAGUUCGGCCAGGGAGUAAAAUGAAUGUGGUUUGGCCUUAGUAAUUAUAUUUGUAAGAAUAUAAGUACGUCGAACUGGUACCAGACUAUAUGGACACAAAUACUCAAAAGAGAUAAGUGUCUUGAUUGUAAAUGUGGUUUGGCCGUCAAAAUAAGCCGAACUCUAAAAUGUAUUUGUGAAUUUCUAAUCAUAAAAUAAACUCCGCUUUCAAUGUGUCGAGCCUGGUAACACCUCACUUCGCCGAGAAGGCUGAUGAGAUGACCUCUUCCAACAAGGAUUUGGAAAUCGUUGCUGGCCGAGACUUGGAUAGGUAAUCAGUUGGUUUCAAAGCAGUACUGUUUAUCCAAACUGAAGGUGCUCCACGGUCAGCUGAUUCUACAACUCCAGUGUUAUUUAUCCAAAUUGAAGAUGUUGUUGGUUGCCUUCACAGGGCUAUUUAUCCAAACUAAAGAUGUGUUGGCGGAAAAAAGAAAAUAAAAAUCUCAAGGUGUUUGAGAUGUUUGCGCAGGGUAGUUGUGUGUUGAAUUGGAGGGGCUUUGAAUGAUGACUCCCCUAUCUAUUUAUAGUAGUGAUUUCCUCUAUGGCCUAGGUAGAAUUUCACUCAAACUAGAAUUCCUCAACCCAAUUUGAUUAGGUCUCGACCAAUCCUAACCCCUAUAGAAUCCGAACCAAGCUCUUCAAUCACUUAGAUUCAUCCUUUGACCCAAUCUAAUUAGGUCUCGACCAAUCCUAACCCCUAUAGAAUCCGAACCAAGCUCUUCAAUCACUUAGAUUCGUCCUUUGAUUCUCAGCAUCUUUUCUGACUCAAAGCAUCCUUACCUUCUAAAGAAUCCUUAUUGCACUACGAUUCGACCACUUCAACCUUAUCCAGGCCAAACCAUUUCCUGAUAGGAUUUUGCCGAACUCCACAAGACUCUGCCCAUGGCAAAGAAUAUUCCUAAUAUUCUUCCAUGGGCCAAGAACAAUUCUAAGCUCGACCCAAAGUGUUAUUUUGGAUACAAACAUUGCCUCCUUGCUUCUGAGGUAUUUGACCUACCAUAUCCGACCGAACUUCGACCUUGAAGAAGCGAUCCAUUAUUAACCAAGAAAUAAACCCUUGGCCUACGCUUAGUGGUUGAUCAAAAGAUCAUUGCAAAAAUGAAUAUUCCCCAUCCACUAAGAUACAUCUAUCACACAUGAUCUCCCAUUAUAUGUCAGUCCUUGAUAAUCGCAAAGGUUUGACACGCGGCGCCUUCUUGUCGCAACUGUCUAGAUUCGGCAACAUGCGCACCUCACGCCCAAGGCUUGUAGACAUUGAAAUGUCUUUUUAUAAUGAUCAUGCCCUAAAGUUCGUCGCCAUACGCAAUCGUGCAAUCCCGAUUUGAGUAUUUUUCAUCCCUUUAGCCUGGAUUUUUUAUUUUCGUAAUGAUUGUAAAACUAUUUCGACCAAAUUUACCCCUUAUGCUUUGAAUUUGAGACCAUUGAUCUUCUUCCUAAUCUGCCUAUAAAUACCAUUUCAGGCUUCAUUCUUCAUUUACGCUUUCAAAACUCUAAAUUCUCACACUUUACUUCUGAUGAUUUGACACCCAAGAAAAGAACCAACCUUUGAAACCCAGAAAAACUCUAAACUCUUGCUUCAAUGGCUGCUAAUACCUUUAUCACGAAACUUGUCGAAGAAUGGGACAAAUGUCACGAUUUCAUCGAUUAGAAUGCCAUCGAAACCCUCCGAUUUGAAGAAGAUUCAGUUACCUCUCACCAGAUCUUGGGUCAUUUGUUUAAGGACAAUGUCUUAUAGGUCAUCACUGAAAUGCUGAAGGACCACUGCCUGAGUUCUUUAUUUCAAGGAUAUGAUUGGUUGAAAUAGGAAUCAGCCAAACCUCAAGGAGCCUGGUCAUCGACUCUUGCAGCCUAGGUUGCUUGGGUUAGCUAAAUGGAACCACACUUCGGCGACAACUGGAAGUCACUUGGCAUCUUUGACACCAUUAAGAUCUUGACCAUUUAGGUCAGCAUGGACUGAUAACUCCUGUUGGUUGCUAUGAGCUUCUGGUGCUCAGCCACAAACAUCAUGGUGCUUCCUUUUGACCUCAUUGGUCCAACAGUUCUAGACAUGAGGACUAUCCUUGGCACCUUACCAUCUGGUCUUCUAGUCGAUACCACACUCUUUCAGUAUCAAUUUGACUUAAAUUUAAAAACAGUCUUUGACGAGCGCAUUUUCGAAGUUUUGAAAAAAGAUAACCAAGGGGUAGUAUUAAAAGACGAAAUAAACAAGCUACACAAGAAUUUCUGCACAUGAGGCCUUCUUGUUCUAUUGGUACAACAAGUUCAUCUUUUGUACCAAGUCGAACAAAUGCCUCACCGAAAUAUGCCAGUGGCUAAAGCCUUCGUUAUAGGUCACACUCUGGCCCUUAGCCCCGCCAUCCUUGCUAACCUUAAGCGCUGCUUGGCCGAGGCAACUGUUGGAAAAAUUGACCCGCACCAGAAUAACCCACACUAGGUAUUUCAACUUUAGCUGCAAGUCUAGUUUCCCAUCCUGAGGCUAUAGAACUUCAACUUCAACUCAUUUGAAGCAAUGGGUCUUCAACUGGCUUCACGUCCAAACCUGACUUACUUAGUUGAAGAAAUUUUCAAAUAUUUCUUUGGCAUAGAUGACCUUACCAAUGAUGAAUUCCUGAUCUAUCAUCGAAAAAAUUAUCCAUCAUCCAUCAAGCUUCCUACAUCCGCAUAGGAAGAAACAAAAGUCACCGAUCUUCGGUGAACCUAGGGAUCAUUCAUGCUAGCUCGAGACCUUCCUUUCGGUUGUGACGUUUGGCAGGCCAGUUGGGAAGUCUACCAUCCCCAUUUUGUGGCUCGACAACUAGCCUAUCUCUAGGGGUGUCAUGCGCUUUUGCUCACUACUAGCUCGUUUUUUAGUCGAGAACGACUUUCUUGCUCUUUUAAAAAGGAAUGUGAGGAAGUAGGGCAAGAGUUUCAAGAAUGGUGCACUAAAUUCUACCUCUAGUCGAAUACCUGUGAAACCUAUGGUGCCAGUACCUUUGCUGACUGGUGGGAAAUCUACACCAAAGAUUUCUUUGGCACAUCAGUCGAAGAAAUCAAAAACAAAAUCUUUGGUGAUCGACCAAAGAAAACUCUUACUCCAAAAUCCAAAGAUACGGCUCAAGGUACUUUUAUUUUGUUUUGCUUAUAUAUAUACUUGACCAAACAUCUUCGUCGUGACUCUCAAUUAGUUUGUCCAAGUGGCUGCUCGAUAAAAUGGGCCGAAGUAGUCGCGAUGGUAGAGUCUAGAAAAAAGAUCGCCCCUCCAUUGAAGAAGGCCAUUACUGUUAUAGCCUCUUCUCCCAAGAUGACUUCGACCUCUCCAACUCUAGCGGACGUUGCUGCUGUAUUGACAGCGGUGGCAAACGACUUCAUCCUUUGGCCGAGAUAACUGAUGAAGUUGCUCGACCCAUGAAACAAAUAAAGAAGAGAGCAAAGAAAGGGGAGCGUGAGAUCCUUGUCAUUUCCAGCCAGGAAACACGAACUUUAACUCCUGACGCUCCUUAUCCUACCCUUGGUGUUAAGGUCCCAAUAGGGAUACCUCAAAAUUCCUCGACCCCAAAUGUUAAUCAGGAGGUCACAAUUUAACCCAUGGUACAGACUACUACUGUGGCUGAACAAGUCGUUACCCUAGUGGCCGAGGAGUUUGCGGUCCAAGCCUCGACCAUCCCUUUUGUCAAGGACGUCAGCCCAACAACUGCUUUUUUUUAAAGAGGCGACCACAAUUUUGGUUGAAGUGAUUCACUCUCCUAAUCCAAAAAUUAUUCUGGUGUCGAAUAUUCCAGAAGGCGUAUGGAGUUUUCAAAGCUUCUCUUUCCUUAAACAUCUUCGAUUAGUAUUUAAUCAUUUUUUGUUACCAAGAAAACAACAGUGAGCCGAUCCAUUGAUGAGGCGUUUUUUAUCGGCUAAGCAAACAAAUAAGGUACUCCUGCCUUUGGAUAAAAGCAAAUGUGUCAUAUCUUCCAUGCCUAAUCCAGACCCGGAUAUCCAACUACUAGUUGAGGCGGUCGUUGAGAGGCUAGCCAUGGAGCCGGUGGCUUCUGCAAGGGAAGAAGCGACCGCGAAGAUGCCAGUUUAUCCUUAAAACCAGGAUCUCGAUAUCCCCGCACAAGAUGUCACCUCGGCAUUUGUAAGUUCUUCAUUUUGAUUCUAAAUUUUAUCUUGGAAUGCUAAACCAAAAUAAAACUGUCAACUGUCAAGAGCCCAGUUGAUCGUUUCAUCAAAAAUUUAUGCGCUGAAGGGGCCUUAUCUCUAUUUCAUAGCCGCCUAGGUGGCUAUCGAACAUAUAUAACCUUCAUCGACUAUAUGAAUUGAAGAGUUGUCUUAAACAUUGGGCUCGGCCAUUAAGUUCUUUUGGUUCGAGCAACAGCCCAGAAGAUAUGGCCGAAGUCACUUCUCGAUAGAUCUAAAAUAACUUCUUCUGUCAUGUUUUCCUUUAGAUUCUGCUUAUCUAACCUUUCUUUUUGUGCAGCCUUUAUAGGAAGUUGAGCUCGACGCCUAUUUUGCCAGCAGAUUCGGGGUAGCUAGUCAUUUUGUAGCCUCGGUCGAGUCCAACGCUUUGGCCAAACAGACUAUGUCCAUCUCAGCCAUGUAAGCUCUUGAAAACAAAGGCCUUGACUCUGUGCGAGAGUGCUUGAACAACUACAGCCGAUGGUUUGGUGAGCAAUGAAAACGUUGUUCACCUAACGACCAUUUUGGAGAAAACUCGGCUAUACUUUGAUAUUUUUUAGAAAGCUCUUCAAGCCAACGAGGACCUGAAGGUUGCAACAGCCACUCAAGAAGCUAUCCUACUAGAGCUCGAGGCACUGAAGGCAAAGGAAGAGAAAAUGGCCAACCUUGAUCGUCAGAUUGUUGAACUUUAAUCUCAAAGGUCUGCCAUUGCCUCUGUGCUUGAAAGGAUCUUUGAGGCAAAUAAACCUCGGCUAGUAAAGUAUGCAGUUGUCAUAAAACGGAUACAAAUGUUGAAGGCUGACAAGAGGACUUGGCAUGCUGAGAUCACUAUGGGUGAAGUAAAAUGGCUGGAGCUAAAAGCCAUACUUGAAGCUUUCAUUCCUUCGACCCCAUAUAUUAUAUUCUUAAUGCUGACUUGUUGGCCAGUUGACUUUUUGUAUACAUAUUUUUUUUAGUCGACUUAAUGAAAUAUUUCUUAUUCUUGCAACUCCUAAUUAACUGGAUAAUAUUUUUUAAGAACUCCCCAUUGAUUGGCAACUUAUAUAUUAUACCAGUUCGAUCAUUGAGAUGGUAUGCCCUAUUUUUGAGAACUUUGUGAACAACAAAUGGUCCUUCCCAAUUUGGCAACCAUUUUCCAAAUCUAGGAUCCUUAAUCCAUACUAACAACACCGUUUGCCAAACUAAAUCACCUUUGCCGAAUGACUUUUUCUUUACUCAUUGAUUAUAAGCUCGCUCAGCAAUCUUUUUCUGUGCUACUAGCAGGUUAUAGGCAUCGAGUCGAGCCUCUUCUAGAUCUUCCAAAUCUUGCAUCAUUACUUGACUAUAUUUGGCGUUGAACAAACUACUUUGUUCAAUAAUUCGCAAUGAGUUUAUACUUAACUCGACCAACAAUUUUGCAUCGUGCCCAUAAGUCAAAGCAUAUAGAGUCAUUGCUAUUGUUGAUCGAAGCGAAGUUUGAUAUGCCCAUAAUGCCUCAUUUAACUUUAAAUGCCACAUACCAGGUCUUUCCUUCACCAUUUUUUCGAGAAUAUUGAUCAAAACCUUGUUGUUUGCUUCAGCUUGCCCAUUCGCCUAUGGGUAAUACGACAUGGACUGUUUGAGUCGAAUCUUUAGACUCACCGUAUAGUCUUUAAACCUAUCGACCAUGAAAAUCGUGCUGUUAUCCGUGAUAAUCAUUUCUGGAAUGCCAAAUCUUGUUACAAUGUUUUCUUCUACGAAAUUGCAAACUUUUUUGGACAUUAAUUCGAUGUACAAUUUCGCUUUGACCCACUUGGUGAAGUAAUCAGUCACUACAAGUAUCCACGUAUGUUUCACUGAUCCAAAUGAUGGUGUUAUUUUGCCAAUUACAUCCAUGGCCCACCCUCUAAACUGCCAUGGUUUAGUGAACGAGUGAAGUAAUUCAGCCGAGAUUCUCUGAAUAGGUCUAUGGAUUUGGCAUUGUAAGCAACUCUAGGCAUAUUCUAUUCAAUCUUUUAAAAUACUAGGCCAGAUUUAUCCGUGUUGGCGGAGUAACCAGCGCAUUUUGCAAUUGGAUUAAUGAGCAUCGCAUAUUCCUUCAUGCACUUCUGUAAUGGCUUGAGCGGCCUUUUCUUAGCCGAGACACAAUAACAAAACACCAUUCUCGCCCUUUCGAUACAACUCAUUUUGAUAUAUUAUAUAAUUUGUGGCAUAUACCUUGUCUUGCGGUCGUGCUUACCACUUAGGUCAUCAAGGUACCGUAUAAUCAAUUUUCUCCAAUCAUCUGGUAAUGUUUCGCACAAAUGUCUACAGGAGCCUCUCGUUCGAGUAAUGAAGGCAAAGACAUAACCUGUGUUCUAAUGACACCGUCCAGUUUAAGAGCUUGUUGAUUAACCAAGGCCGGGUAUAGACGCUGAUCAACUGGUAUAACCCGACCUACCUCACCCCCCAAAAGUUGUGCUCCUGAAGCUAUUUGAGCCAGCUAAUCUACAUUAAUAUUCCGAAUUCAAGAGAUAUGUUUGAACGUGAUUGUAGACAUGUAAAUUUCAUUGCAUACAAAUGAUGCAUCACAAAACUCCACGUGGCAUAUGACUCAUUACAAAUGGACAAGUCAUUAAUGACAUGUGGCGCAAAUCAAGCAAAGGAAGUUAAAAAACAUUCCUAAAAUUUGGCAAAGGGGAAUAAAUCUCCUUAAAAUCGACAAGGGGCCCAAAUUGCUCCCAAAAUCAGAAAGAUAGCUAAAGCAUCUUCACAAAACAUGCAAGAAUUGAAGAUUGCUUGCAAAAUAGGCAAGAAAGCCUUAUAGAUUUUGGCCAGGCAGGGGAAAGUGGCUGAAAUUAAGACACAAAACAUGCCUAAAUUCUCCCAUGGACGAAACAAGACACAAAUAAAAAACGGGAAGAAAUCUCCUUAAAAUCAACAAGGGGCCCAAAUUGCUCCCAAAACCGAAAAGAUAGCUAAAACAUCUUCACAAAACAAGCAAGAACUGAAGAUUGCUUGAAAAAUAGACAAGAAAACCUUAUAGAUUUCGGCCAAGCAAGGGAAAGUGGCUGAAAUUAAGACACAAAACAUGCCUAAUUCUCCCAUGGAUGAAGCAAGACACAAAUCAUGGCGAAAUCUAUCCAAAGGAAUGGCUUUGGAAGUUUAUAAAUACAAGGUCCCCAGACAAGCAUAAGGUGGACAAUUUCUACAUUGAAGGGUCAAAAUUCUCACACAAGGAUAACCUUUGCCAAAUCUUUGAAGACUAAUAUGCUGUCAAAGCUCUUUUUGAAGAAUGUACAACUAAAGCCGAAGCUUUUUUUCGACCAAAGUUGAAGCAUUCCCUUGAAGAAUCAGCAAGCACUUGUGCCAAUUCCUUCAAGACUUUGUUGCAAGCUUAAAACUUGUUACGACGUUCGAUUCAAGAUCAAGUCACCAAGACCCUUGAAUCAACAAAAUCCCACAUCAACAUCACCUUUGCUACAGGUCAUAUGCAAACCUAGACGUAAAGAUUAUCCACGCAUUGUUUCAAGCUCAAAACUUGAACCAAUCGUUUAAUUGUUCAUUCAAGAUCAAGUCAUGGCGACCCUUGGAUCAACAACCUACGCAUCUACAUCAAAUUUGAAGGCUGAAUCAGAGGAAAAUUGUAAACCGAGAUUGUAACCCUACAAAUUCAUCAAUACAAAUAUACUUUGUACACGUGUUCUUGUUUCAUUCGUUACAAAAUUUUCAUGUUUACAAAUUUGGCACGCCCGGUGAGACCUCUCUGCCUUUCAUCUCUAUCUUCAAAUCUACAAGAAAUAUACGAAGAACAAGAACAUCCUUGCCGUAAGUGGAGGCACUUUGGGCGUUACAACCAGAAGCAAGGCAAGAACUCUCUCUGUCGUGUCCUUCACCCCUACAUUAACUCUGUUGGAUGAGCACAAGCACCUGAGGCAUAUGCCCAUGAUCACCCUGGCCUCACUAAGGGCACCAAGGGAAGAAAGCUCGAUGAGGUAUUUCGAGUCGUUGACUUUCGAUGCUGACUCAAGCAGCAGCUCAUAUCCCCUAGCCAUGCAAGUCAUGACUACUAGUGCGACUUCAAUCGAAGAGCAGCUGGCACAAAUAAGCGAAGCAAUUACAAGGUUGACAAUGACCGUGGAGGAAAAAGGAUUUGCAUAUUGCUAUACUUGUCAACCGUCUGGAGGCCUAUCACCAUGAGAAUGCUGACCCUAAGGUUGAUACACCAAAUGAGAAAACUAACGAAAAUGAGGAGCUUCUGAUGGACAAAGCUAAGGAGAAGCUAGAGGUGGAUUGAGCUACAAUGCUUAUGAGAUCUCUCUCUAUCCAACAGCUGCAAAAGAUGAUCACAAGCACGAUCAAGGCACAACAUGAAGGAAGUUUGCAUGAUUCUGUGCUAUACUCAAAGCCAUACUCUAAAAGGAUUGACUCCUUGAAGAUGCCAAUGGGUUAUCAUCCCCCCAAAUUCAUGCAAUUCGAUGGAAAGGGCAAUCCUGAACAACAUAUUGCCCAUUUCAUUAAAACCUGCAACAAUGCUAGAACAUAUGAACCUAAGCAUGCUGGAGUUGACGAGUACAAAAUAGUGGAGGGAUGAACCUACCGUCGAUUACAUCAAUAGGUGGCGUUCAUUAAGUCUGGAUUGCAAAGAUCGGCUUUCUGAAACCUCCGCCAUUGAGAUGUGUGUUCAAGGCAUACACUAGGGGUUACAUUACAUCAUCCAAGGCAUAAAACUGAGAACAUUUGAAGAAUUGGCAACUCGAUCCCAUGAUAUGGAGCUGAGUAUUGCCAAUCAUAGGAAGAAGGAGCCGAUCAUCGACUUCAAAAAGGAUAAGCUGUUCGCCCAAAAGGUAGACAAGACUGGGGAAAAACCCGCCAAUGAAGCUUUUACCGUCCAUACUACCCCUAUCAAGACCUCCUCCGAGCCCGUCAAGAUCUCAUCCAAAAACAAAAUGAAGAAGAUAAAGAGAAGUGAACCUUAUCGUACCCAAGAUACGUACAAAAACACCUUGAGGGAACUAGAGCAGAAAACAAACCCUUUUCCUGACUCUGACGUGGUUGCAAUGCUAGAUAAUUUGCUGGAAAGGAAGGUGAUUGAGUUACCUGAAUGCAAGUGCCCCGAAUAGAUGAAUCGCGUUAACCAUCUUAGGUAUUGUAAAAACCAUCGUAUCUUAAGUCAUGUUGUCGGUAAGUGCUUCGUCCUUAAGGAGCUCAUCAUGAGGCUAGAACAACAAGGAUAGGUCAAGCUUGACCUUGAAAACACGGUCGUAACACAUACUACUACGAUUGCAUUUGUAUCAUUCAAUCAUGUGCCUCUCCAAGCGACGCCUGACCACUCUCGUCUAUGCUCAAGCUACACGGCAUCUUUUACACAACUAUCACUGGGGGCAAACGACCAAAAUGCACCUACCGAUGAUGAAGAAGGGUGGACACUGGUGACUUACAAAAAGACAAGGAAGCCAAGACCACACGCCACACGGCCAAAGGUGGAACAAGGGAGAAAGCACCACCGUCACAACAAUAGAAAGCCCAAAAGGAGAUAAGAGUUGCUAAGUCAACAUAUGUAGGGGAACCUAUGAAGCAAGAGCCGCGUAUUCCCGUUUCCUUGCACGAGUACUUCCCAAAGGACUUUUUCCAACAGUGCACUACCAUUGCCUAUCACAUGGUUGAAGUGGAGAUAAAAGAGCCCUCGAAAGGCAAAACUAUCACCAUUGAGGAAGAAAAGACCUUCAUGCCUAACGAAAGCUUGCCGACAUACUUUAGCAUCGAGGAAGCACUACGAUUGCUCAAAGAGAUGCGAAAAGCACUAGUAGUGGUCAUGGCGAGUCUCGACGACCACGAGGUGCAAGUAAGCAAGGAUUAAGGUUUGAAGCUUCGGUUACAUGAAUAUGCCACAUGCUGUGUCGCCUAUAGCGCAAUCAACUUCACUGACGAAGACUUGCUGCUAGGGUCAAAGCCUCACAAUCGUCCUCUAUUCAUACGUGAGAUAGAACAAAAUCAACCAUAUGCUUAUAGAUGAUGGGUCGGCCAUAAACAUCAUGCCAAAGUUAACAAUAACCACAAUCGGCAUCAAGGUGGAUGAACUAUCCCAAAGCCACCUCCUAAUCCAAGGUUUUAGCCAAUGAAGACAAAGAGCAAUGGGCAUGAUUUGAGUGGAGAUGACCAUUGGCGAACUCAAAUCAAGCACGUUAUUCGACGUGAUUGAUAAAAGAACAUCCUAUAACUUGCUCUUAGUAAGGCCUUGGAUCCAUGAGAAUGGAAUAGUACCGUCCACCCUUCAUUAAUACUUAAAGUUCUACUGAGAAUGAGUAAAGUUGAUACAAGGUGACAUCAAGCCAUUCACCGAAGCUGAAUCACACUUCGCGGAUGUCAAGUUUUACAUGGAUGAAGACAUGGUACCCGUGGUUCUUCCAAAGGUGAUUAAAUCCACAGGCAAAGCCGCACCUAAGAAAUAAGAGUGACAAGCCGUGCCUAAGAAGCAAUAAGAGAAAGCAGUGCUAUCCUCAAACAAAGGCGAUGAUGAGUCUGCCAAACCCACAACAACUAAAGAGAGUAUGACGCCCUCAAAAAGACCAAACAUACUCGUCUUUCGAUACAUCCUAACAUCAAAAAGAAAGAAUGGGCAAUCGCCAUUCAAAACUGGAACAAGCAAAGUUGACACACAGCUGCACAAGGACGAUGUAAAGCUACUCAAGACAAACUCAGUUUUACCUUUGACACAGCUAGGCGAUGCUAAAAUUUCAAAACCACCGCAAGGUUUCGUAAAACCCCUGCCAAAGGGGGUGAAACCGAACAUUCUUCCAACCAAGAUGACCGAAGAAGGUUUCAACCCAAACUCCUACAAAUUCAUGUCAAAGGCUGGGUACAAUUUCACCUCCCCUUCAAAUCUUGGAAAGAAGGUUUCAAACACCAUCAAUGACAAAGAACGUGACCUCAUCGAGACUCAAAAGAAGUUCAAGGAACAUGGUUACAGAGUUGAAAACAACAAAGUUUGACUUGGGUUCACACCAAAUACACCCGUGAAGAUUUCAAGCAAAACAAAAAAUGUUAGGGCUCAACACUUCAGCGUGAACGUUGAACCAAAUCAAGAUAAGCCUAAACCCACCUCUUAGACGUCAGUUUUCGAUAGGCCGAAUCAUUCAAAACCCAUAAUUUUGGCACUUGAUCGCAUUGGUAGUCAAGAUUGAACUUCUAUCUUCAAACGGCUCAACACACCAACACCCUAAAGCUGUGUUUUCGAAAAGUUAUCAAAACCUAGUAAGCAAAGCAACACGGCUAGCUCUCAUCCGCGACAGUCGACCUUGGAAAGACUUGAAGAAACCAAGAAGCCUUCUAAGAAGAGGAAGACAAUGCCGAAAAAAGAAAAACUCGACGGUUUAGCAGAAAAAGACGACGUUCGAAGCUCAAUUUCUUCAAGGAUAAAGUGCUAAGAAACCUUGGAAGUCAACAUAAAAGGACAACUAAAGGUAAAGAGGUGUACCAUCGUACACACUGGCCAAUCUUCAUGCCAACAAGCCUAAAGGGAUGACACUGAAGAGGAGGUCCAAGACGUCUUCCACAUCAUUAUCCAAGAAGACAAACAGAAUGAAACCCCCGGGGAAGACGUCACUAUUGCACCAUCACAACUCGAGGAUGGGAGGCAAGCCACGGUUGAUGAUCUCAAGGAGAUCAACUUAGGCACAAACAAUGAGCUGAAACCUAUCUUCGUAAGUACAUUGCUAAGUGCAGACGAGAUCGAUGAGUACCACCAACUGCUAUUGGAGUACAAAGACGUCUUUGCUUAGACCUACAAGGAAAUGCCCCACCUUAACCCUACCAUCGCGAUGCAUCGUCUUGUAGUUAAGCCUGGAACGUGACCAAUAAAGCAAAUUCAAAGACGUAAUCAAUCCGAGCUCAUUCCACAAAUUGAGGCUGAGGUUGAUAAGCUAAUUAAAGCAAGCUUCAUUCGAGAGAUGCAAUACCUUAAAUAGAUCUCCAACAUCGUCAUUGUACUUAAGAAAUCUGGACAAAUACGUGUUUGUGUAGAUUUUCGAAACCUCAACGAUGCUUGCCAGAAUGAUGACUUUCCCUUACCAAUCAUCAAAAUCAUGGUGGAUGCAACAACUGGCCACAAGUCACUAUCCUUCAUAGACGGCUCUUCUGGAUACAAUCAAAUUCGCAUAACUCCCGAAGACGAGGAACUAACAACUUUCUGCACUCCAAAAGGUAUCUACUGCUACAAGGUAAUGCCCUUUAGCUUGAAAAAUGCUGGAGUUACAUAUCAACGUGCAAUGCAGAAGAUCUUCAAUAACAAGCUACGAAAAAACUUAGAAUGUUAUGUGGAUGACGUAGUUGUCAAGACCAAAAAGACAUCCGAUCACAUUAAGGAUGUACGAAUGGUGUUCAACAAACUACGUCACUACAACCUCAAAAUGAACCCAUUAAAGUGUGCAUUUGGCGUCACUUCUGGGAAGUUCCUCGGCUUCAAUAUCAAGCACCGUGACAUUGAAGUAGACCAAUCGAAUAUCAAGGCCAUCCAAAGCAUGCCCGAACCAAGGAACUUACAAGAGUUGAAAAGUCUACAAGGGCGGCUAGCCUUUAUCAGACACUUCAUCUCCAGCCUUGUUGGACAUUGUCAAUCCUUCAAUCGACUUAUGAAGAAGGACGCUCCGUUCAUAUGGGAUGACCCAUGUCCCAAUGCCUUUGAAAGCAUAAAAAUGUACCUAGCAAGCCCACGUGUCUUAGGAGCUCUCGUGCCUGGAAAACCGAUCAUCUUUUACUUUGCCAUACAAUAGGGUUCCAUUAGAGCACUCUUGGCAUAAGAAAAUGAAGGCCAAAAGAAAAAAGCACUUUACUACCUAAGUAGAACUCUCACUGGUGCCGAACUUAACUACUCAUCGACCGAGAAGAUGUGACUUGUCCUAGUCUUUGCCUUCCAAAAGCUAAGACACUACAUGCAUGCUUACACCAUCCACUUGGUUGCUAAAGCCGACCUAGUCAAGUAAGUUAUGUCCAAACCUGUUUUGACAGGGUGACUAGCUAAAUGGGCGUUGAUUUUCAAUCAAUACGAGAUCAUCUACGUCCUAGCUAAAGCCAUCAAGGGACAAGCACUAGUAGACUUCCUUGCCGAUCAUCCAAAACUAGCCGAUUGGAAAAUCUUAGACGACUUGCCUGACGAGGAGGUGUUCUACAUCGACAUCUACCUAACAUGGACAAUGUUCUUUGACGAAUCCGCACGAACGAAGUGAGCGGGGGUAGGAAUAAUAUUCAUGUCACCACAAAAACAAGUACUAGCCUAUUAAUCAACAUCGCUGAGUACCAAGCCUUGAUCUUUGGACUCCAAAUGGCAAUCAACAUGGAAAUCACAACACUAGAAGUGUACGACGACUCUAUACUCAUAAUUAAUCAACUCUUGAUUGAAUAUGAAGUGAGGAAAGAUGAUCUCGUCCUAUACUUUCGGCUAGCAACUUAACUAAUACAAAGUUUCGAGGUUGUGACAUUAGAACAUGUGCCAAGAAAAGAAAAUCAAAUGGCGGACGCUCUCGCUAACUUAGCCUCAAGUACGGUACUAGAAGAAGAUGAAGUUGCAGACGUGUUAGUUUGCCAAAGAUGUGUGAUCCCACUAAUUACUGAAAUGCUACUAGAUGACACAAACAUCGUCUCAUUACUUCCAGUCGACAUUGAAGAAUAGAGACAGUCGCUGAUCAACUACUUGGGGCAUGGAAAGCUUCCAAACGAUCCUAGACAUCGCUCUGAAAUACGACGACGAGCACCUCGCCUCCUCUACUACAAAUGAACACUCUACCGAUGCUCUUUUGAAUGAGUACUUCUAAGAUGCCUAGGUGAGGAAGAAGCCAAUCAAGCUAUGGAAGAAACACACUCAGGUGUAUGAGGAGCACAUCAGUCAGGACCAAAACUACACUUCCAACUUCAUACAUCAACCACUUGAUCUAAUACAUGCUACAGUUGCUUCAUGGCCGUUUGAUGCAUGGGGAUUUGAAGUCAUAUGACCAAUCACACCAAAGUUAUCUGCAAGAAAAGCUUACAUCCUAGCUAUAACAAAUUACUUCUCUAAGUGGGCUGAAGUUGUACCCCUGAGGAAAGUCAAGAAGGAAACUGUCGUCUCUUUCAUCAAGGAGUAUAUCAUCCAUUAAUAUGGUGUGCCUCGUUACAUCAUCACUGAUAAUGGAAAAUAGUUCUCUAACCGACUCAUGGAUUAGUUCUGCGAGAAAUACAAGUUCAAGCAGCAUAAGUCUUCCAUGUAUCAUGCUCUGGUCAACGGUAUCGGGGAAGCAUUCAACAAAACGUUGUGCAACCUCUUGAAGAAGGUAAUCGGCCGAACAAAGAGAGACUGGCAUAAAAGAAUAAGCGAAACACUUUGGGCAUAUAGGACGACACAUAUAACUCCUACCCAAGCUAUGCCUUAUUCUCUCGUAUAUGGCGUUAAAGUUGUUCUGCCACUCGAAAGUCAAAUCCCCUCACUAAGGAUGGCUAUACAAGAAGGCUUGACUGAAGAGGAAAAUGAAAAACUACAACUUUAAGAGUUGGAAGCACUCGAUGAAAUGAGGAUCGAAGUUCAACAACACUUGGAAUGUUACAAAGCAUGGCUAUCUAAGGUAUUCAACAAGAAGGUCCGCCCAAGGUCUUUCCAAAAUGGAGAUCUUGUCUUUGCAUUACAAAGGCCUAUCAUCAUAACUCACAAGACAAAAAGCAAGUUCACAUCAAAAUGGGAUGGACUUUAUGUAAUACAAGAGGUCUACAUUAACGACGCCUACUUAAUCAUGGCGGAAGAUGACUUAAAGAUCGGCCCCAUCAAUGGCAGGUUCUUGAAGUGUUACUAUCCCUAAACUAAACAAGCAAUGCUCAUUGCCUGCACGAGCCUAAACUGCACACGGCAACAAUUCUCCUUGUUCACACAAACUUAAAAGGCGACACCUAAUGCUCCUUAUUCGCACGAGCUUAAAAGGCGACACCCAAUGCUCAUUGUUCACACGAGCUUAAAAUGUGACACCCAACGCUCAUGGUCCGCAAGAGCAUAAUCUGUGUACGAUAAAACAGAAAAAGAAAAUCAAAAUCAUUAUCAAAAUCACCAUCAAAACCAUUAAAAGCAAUCCACCAUUCUUUCUAACUACGUCAUGACUUGAUCCCUCCUCAAUCGAGGGUAUGUAGGCAACUUGAAACUUCAAAACUUCAUGUAUGUUUGUACCAUACUUAGGGCCUCUGUAUUUAGAUCUCGUAUAAAUACUUGGGGGACUUAAAUGUAAUUAUGUAAUAAAGGAAUGGGCAAAUAUGUAAUAAGUGAGGAGCCUUUAUUCUAUAAAAUGACCCCUCACCCUUACAAUUAGGGGGAUACCUCACUCUCACCCUCAGAGGCCAAUUCCUAAGCCCUCUCAUCCUCUCAAAGCUCUCACUCUCAUAUUCAGAGCUCUCUCUCUCUCAGAGAUACAAUAUCAGUAUGGACGUAGCCCAAACCUUUGGGUGAACCACGAUACAUCUUGUGUUAUUUACCUUCUUGCAGAUUCACGGUCAGAUUUACGUUGUUCCAAGACCCCUCCGGUUUUGUGCAUCAACAUUUGGCGCCGUCUGUGGGAAACGACACGAAAAGUUAUGUCGGUUCUCUCUCAUUUUUUCACCUCUGCCGUGAAUCUUCAAAAUCAUAAAAACCCAAUAAACUAGUCCAUCUCUCUCUCUCUCUUUCUCAUUCGGUUGGUCUAAUUGAUUCUGCAGAAUAAAGCUAUAGGAUAGUGAAUUAACAUAUCGAAUGGGAAUGGCAAAGUUUUCCUCCGUCGGACCGAACCAUUUUUUAAAAUUGUUUUCUUCUGCUUCAUCGCGCUAUUGGCAAUCAUUCUCGCCACAGCCUUGGCGUGGAAUUUAUUGCGUGACACGAAGCUCAGCCCUCAAUUCCUUGAGUUCCAAGUCGACUUGGUAGCUGUGUCGCUGUGCCCACUCACCACCACAUCUAGCAACGACUACUUAACCACCAUGUGGGACUUGAUGUUGGUUGCUAUAAAUCCCAACCGAAACCUAGACUUGUAUUAUGAGAACCUGCAAGCUGAUAUCUUCUACGGCGAUGUCGACGACAAGGAAAGCGACAGCAAUCUCAAGCUGGGAACGGCACCGUUGCCUCCUAUCUAUGUAUAAUACUACGUUGUUUGGACUGGAUACUUCCAAACUGACGCGCUUCUCUUGCGACUUUUUCUCACCGAAUGGGACGGCGGGGCAAUCAAGGGCAUGCCAAGGUUUUGAUCAAAGUCAUAGCUAAAUUGCUAAUCCUAUCAACCUGAUAUAUAAAGCAUCCAUACGAGUGACCUCUAACAUUGCAGUUGAAGUAGUAAAGUACCCACUUCUUCACAUGCAUAAGUUUCUACAAGUUUCUCUACUAGAAAAGUAGUUGUUAGAUAAGCAAGUGAAGCAGAGGAAAAGUUGAUGAACAAGUACGAGAUGAACAAGCUGCUAGACAAACAAGUGAAGUAAGGGCGCAAUUGGGGAUUCUUUUGCUUUUGGUUGAACAGGCCGAAAGCAAAAGCAGAAAAGUAGAAAGAAAAGUACUCUGAUGGGGUUUUACAGCUGGUGUUCAGACAGCAGAAAAAGAAAAAGGAGGAAGAGUCAGCUUAUUAUAUGUGCUCAGAAAAUGGAGCAGGGCUAGGGAGGGAUGAGAUAGAGAGAGGCGCAGUGGGAAACAGAAACAAAAGCAAAAGCAAAGCAGAAAAUAAAAGAGAAAGCAAAAGUAAGGAAUAAACACCCCACCAGAAUGAUGUGAUUUGCUUUUCUUGUUUUUGUAUGAUGUGAUUUAUUUUUCUUAUCUUUCGGAGACAUUUGUAUAAACCCCAUCAGAGGGUAAUAAAAAAAACGGCAAAGCCCAAAAUAAAUGGGCUGAAAUGUUGUGUGGAGAGUGAAGGCCCAUAAGCCCAAAAUAGCACCAACCAGGUGACCAAAAGUACCCCCAGUACUACAAAAAAUUAUUCGGCACCCCGCAGCUAUUAUUGCCAACCAGGUGAUCAAAAGUACGCCUAAUACUCCAAAUUAUUCGGCAGCCUGCCGUUAUUAUCACCAACCAGGUGAUUAAAAGUACACCCAGUACUUCAAAUUAUACAUGAGCAUUACUCAUGUCAAUCAUACAUAAACAUUCAUGAGCAUUACUCAUAUCAAUCGUACAUAAACAUUCAUGAGCAUCACUCAUCUCAAUCAGCUUCAAAUGCUUCAUUUACAGAGCUCUAGCUUCAAAAGUUUCAUUUACAAAAGCUCUAGCUUCAAAAGCUUCAUUUACAGAGCUCCAGCUUCAAAAACUUCAUUUACAAAAGCUCUAGCUUCAAAAGCUUCAUUUACAGAGCUCCAGCUUCAAAGUUUCACUUGCAAAGCUUCAGCUUCAAAGCUUCACUUGCAAAGCUUCACCUACAAAGCUUCAGUGUAGGGUAUACAAAUACCGCCUCCGAACAACCACCACUUCGGUCCAUACAUGGAUUCAAUUUGAAGUCUCUAGCCAACAGACUCUAUUGACUGAAGACUUGGGGGACUACAUUAUGUACCAUAUAUUAGGCCUCAACUGGGCCUCAUGAAAAAUAUUUGGGGGACUUAGCCCAUUAUUUAUGUAUUGAGGAGCAAACCCUUAUUUUAUAAAAUGGACUCCUUCACCAUCAUUAGAGAACAUCAACUCUAGCUCAUUAUUCAUGUAUUAAGGAGCGAGCCCUUAUUCUAUAAAAGGGACUCCCUCACCAUCAUUAGAGAGCAUCGCCGCCUGCUAAGCAACCGCCUCACCACGAGCAUCAACUCUAGCCCAUCAUUUAUGUAUUGGGGAGCGAGCCCUUAUUCUAUAAAAGGGACUCUCUCACUUUCAACACCACAAGCCGAGCCAACCAAGGAAACAUAAGCCACAAGCAGAGCAGCUUCGCAACAUAUGCUACUUCUGGUUGAACAUCAUUUCAGAUUGGGCACCGCUUCAUAUCGAGUACCAAUUUUAGACGACAUCCAGUUACUUCGGCCCACACAUGGACUGAAUUUCAAGUCUCCAGCCAAAAGACUCUCUUGACUGAAGACUUGAGGGACUACUGUUUGUACCAUACUUAGGCCAUCCGUAUUUAGAUCUCGUAUAAAUACUCAGGGGACUUAAAUGUAAUUAUGUAAUAAAGAAAGGGGCAAAUAUGUAAUAAGUGAGAAGCCCUUAUUCUAUAAAAGGACCCCCCACCCUCACAAUUAGGGGGAGGCUUCACUCUCACCCUCAGAGGCCAAUCCCUAAGCCCUCUCAUCCUCUCAAAGCUCUCAAUCUCAUAUUCAGAUCUCUCUCUCCUUCAGAAAUACAAUAUCAGUGUGGACGUAGCCCAAACCUUGGGGUGAACCAGAAUACAUCUUGUGUUAUUUACCUUCUUGCAGAUUCACGGUCAGAUUUACGUUGUUCCAAUACCCCUCCGGUUUUGUGCAUCAACAAAGUACAGUCACAUCAUUAACAAAAACACAAAUACUUUGAAGAAUAAAGAGCAAAGUCAAGAAUGUGAAUACUUUAUUUCUUUAAAGGAAGAAAUCGGCAAUAAAACUGUAUUAUAAAAUGAGUAAAAAAACAAAGAAGUCUUAAAGUACAAAAAAUGGAAGACACUACUUAAAGGCUAUGUCCCUAAAACUACGACAGCGGUCUUCAAGCAAGCCUUCCAAAGUCUUAAAAGUCUCCACAUCGGUGGGGGACCAGGUGGGCACUUCCAUGGCCACGCAUUUCUCUUCCUCUAGGCAUGAAAUCCUCUCUUAAUGCUGAGAAAGUAUAGCUUCCUGCUCCAAGAGAACACCUUGAAGUCAUGAUGCUUCAAUUUUCAAUUGCUCUCACUCAUGCGCCAAAGUUUCCAGACAUGCAUAUGUAAGCUAAAUAAGUUAUUGUGACUUGAUAACCUUCCGAAACAGCUUGCUGAGAAGACCAAACUUGGGCAAUUGAUAAGUCUAUUGCCCCAAGUUGUUGAGCUCUAACCUCUGGACUCAACUUCUUCGAGGAAAUGGCAUGCAAGGAAGAAUACUCAAUUAAGGCGCUACAAGUUCGGCAUUCUUGACUCUCUAGAGAAAGGAAUCAAUGUUAAGGUUGUCCAUCGCAGAAACAAGCUUCGACAAGACCUCCUUGAGCAACGCAAGGUUAUCCACUGGGCACUUUGAAAUCCUCUUCUCAAUAUGGCUCUUGAUAUCCAUGGUUCCACGAAUGUUGAUGCGAUGGAUAAGCUACUCAGUGCCACUAAGUUUCGGCCCUCUAAGAGAGAUCUCAGAGCUAGCUAGCAAAGGUGUUAGAAGCAUGACAGGCUUUUUCAUACCUUCCCUUACACAUGGUAAACUUGGGCAACUUGGCGGAUUUGCAAUAAGCUCUGCCCUAGGUAGGUCUCUAAUCUCAUUGUCCGUGGGUAGACUACUUCUAAACAGCAUUUUUCGUAAAGGAAUGAACACAUAUGUUCACCAAAUCAAAGGAACAAAAGAGCCUAGCCUAAAGAAGACAAAGAAAGAUGUUUGAAAUAAAAGCUAAAACAAUGAAAGCAGAAGAAAUCACAAGAAAGAAGGAAAUACAUACAUUUUUCUCAAGUGAUGCACGACUAUCAAAUUGAGGAUGCCUAAAAACUCUCUUCUUCUUAUGAAGAAAAUUGACAUCACUGUCAUCCUGAGCACCUUGAAGCGAUCGCUUGUUCAAAACUAUUGACGCUUCCGUAAAACAAGCUUAUCUUCGUGCAAGUCAACUUCGACACCCGCCUCUUUAAAAGCAUCCGAACUUUGAGAAGACAAACACAGGCGUUAAAGAGCUAAGGUUGCAAGUCCAUCUUGCAAAGGAGUUGCGCUCACACAAUUAAAAGGUGCCAACUGCGUAGGAACCGCAUAAUAACCCUCUCUCAGCGCAUCAUUGCGUGAACUAGAAGAAUUGGUGCCACUUGCUGUCCCCAAGUAUUCAUGGUGUACCUAUAACCAAUAACCUCUGUAGGCACAAGUCACUGGAUUACUCUUAAACUCGUCCUUGGUCGGCAAAGUGAUAGAAGCAUUUGUGCAUGCACGGGUACAAGACUCCUAAUGCAUAUACAUGGCUUGCAAGGAUUCCGAUUGUCCAUUUUCCUUCAGCUUGCUUGGCACAUGUUAGACAAAACCAAACUGCAUGUCAAACGGUGAGGACUAUACGGCUGAACGAUACAUUAGUCUCAUUGCCGCAACGAAACAUUCCCCGAACGAAGACUCGUAAGGUAAGACAAGUUUAAGAAAUAAAGGUGUGAAUCAUCUACGAGGCCUCGCCGCGCCGAGCCAACCUUUGCUAGAUGGUCCAUUCUUAAACCUUUAUAGCUUCUAAAUAAUGCCUACGCUUGUAAAUCAUCAAGGCUCUAUGCAAAAAGUAUGCCAAGGUACUUUGUUAUCAAAGGCCCCAACUUGGGUGAAGUUGAUGAAGAAGGCCCCAACUUUUCUAAAGUCAACAAAGAAAAAUAAGUUCCAAAGUACUCACCUAACCAACUGUACACAUAAUGGUAAAGAAAUACUGCAGCACAAUCUUCGGUGCCUGUCGAGUUCGAAACAACACUCAAGCUAUCAUAAAUAUUGGCUAAGACCGGAAUACCAAGGCUGAAAGAUUCACCUACAACCAUCUUACUAGCCACUUUGAAGACGCCGGGGAGGAUAAAGUUGACGUCGUCUUUGGGGAAAACAAACUUACAAAGCCAAUAAGCUAAGAAAGCGGCUAGGUAAGAUUAUUCCACAUGCUCUUAUGGUAUGCCAAGAUCCUCAAACGCUUUUAACUUGAUAGGGGCAUGUUGCCUAGCUAAACCAAUGGCACCUGACGGGUCUGAGUCUCCCUUUGGCUUAGUGGUCUUGUUGCAGCCAAUUUUCUUCGAAGGGUUCUUGUACUUCAUGGCAUCCCAAUACCAAAAUUAAAUCCAUGAAGAAAUCUUCAUGCCUAACUUACCCUAAGCCUCAUAGGAAAGCUUGUGAUAUGCCAAAAAGAAAUAGUGGCAACUCAUAGGCAAUCCUCAUCUAUUACAAUGAGAAAAUUCUUUCACACUAGGAAUAACCUUGUUGUAAAACUUACCCUAGAUCGGUAAGCCUCCUAUCUUAUGGAGAUCCCAAAGUGAAAUCAACAUCUCCCCUUGUGACGUGUGAAGUGUGUUGGUCGCUAAACACCAAUGCUUAAAGAACGCACGAAAGACGGAAUGAUGACGAUCAUAACUAAUCAAAGAUGCGUAUACAGCGUGAUAAAGGCCCACAUUAGUAAGCACAUCUUUGGAUCGGCUCAAGACAUCUUCAAGCCACUCCUAGUAAAACUUAGCAAAGAUGGCUUCUCCAGUUAUCUAAAAGGUGUUAUUUCAAGUCAUAGCUCUGCUACGGAUGGGAUUGCCAAGAAGCUCAAACGAAGCUAGUGGAUUGUCAUAAACAUGGGGCGAAGGUUUGAAGAUAAGAAUCUUCGAUGUACACACCUUCUUCUUUGUAUUUGGUUAACCAAAAUUUGUCACCUCCCAAGAUACUUCAGAAAACCACGACUAGAUAUGCAUCGAGUUAUCUUUCGCAGGAAGAUCAAGUGCCUUAGGGCCAGUCAACGACACACAAAGCUUCAACGUCGUUACCCUAUCUUGCGAAUCGCCUUCCUUCGCAAGAAUGGUGAUGGUAUUGCUUUUAAAGAACUUAAAAAAUACCAUGGCUACACCAAAAUAAACAAGGCAACAUAAGCAUAAGAGUAGGGCGGCAAAAAGAAAAAAAAUUGCUUCACUAAAGCAAAAGACACCCGAGACAAACCUUGUGAGCGUUGAAGUAUGAUUAUAACAAAGUCACAACGACGAAAAGAAAUUAGCCACAAAACUUGAGCAGCACAACAAAUAGGGUAGCUACAAGACGGUCCUUUAAAGCACGUUACAGUAGCAAAGAAAACCAAAAUGCUACAUAAUCACACUACACAUCCCUGUAGCGAUUACACAAGCAGUUUCUUGCACUGCAAGGCAACAUCACCACCUAGGGAAAACUGUGACCAAAAGGCAUUACACAGCGUAACCCCACUGCUGUCUUUUACGCAGCACCAUGCGGUAAAAAGUGACGUACUACAACAAGCUUCAAGCAGCUACAACUCAUGGCAGCAGUAAGAACAGUGCACACGGCAAGGAAUUGUUGUGGCAAAACACACUGAUUGUCCUAUAAAUAAGGGUCAAUUGCUUCCUAAUGUUAUAGGGAGAAUACAUACCAAAUAGCAAAAGGAAAAUAAAAAGAAGGAAGCACAUUCUAUCUGCAAGAAAGAAAAAAAAUUCCAAGAAAAAAAAAAGGCAAGCUGAUUUCGGCACAAAGAAAAAAAACAAGUUGUUUUUUCAACAAAAUCAGCAAAGAGAAGAAAAGGAAACAAAGAAAUAAGGAAAGGGCUUUAAAAUUUCUAAAACAUCAAAGGAAAGUACCUUUCCUUGCCAAAAUACAAAAGGAAAUCCCUCCAAAGCAAGGACAAGUCUUCAAGUUUCCCAAACCAAAAGAGAAAAACACUCUCUUGUCGUGGAAAAAGAAAGGGAAGAAAAAAAAAAUGCAAAUCCUACUUACCCAAGGAAAAAUAAUAAAUCUUUCCAAAACCUUGAAGCAAAUCACCAAAGCUUUCCAACAUGUUGAAGAAAAUCAUCCCCAUUACCAAAAUUGAAGGAGAUUCCUACCUAAGGAAGGGAAAAGCAUUUUUCCCACACCCACAAGUAAAAAAUCCAAGCCUCAAAACACACCAAAUGUAUUUUGUCAAAAUUAUGGAAAAUCAAUACGCACAAGAAGUAUGUGCCGAUUUAUCCAUUUUCAAAAUUUUCAUUCAAGAUCAAGCCUUUAUGGCCCUUGAAGAAAAUUUCCAUUUUAUUCAAGAUUAAGCCUCUACGGUCCUUGAAGAAAAUUCAUUUCAUUCAAGACUAAGCCUCAAUGGCCUUUGAUGAAAUUGAUCAUUUCAAUGCAAGAAAUACGCCUCAAUGGCCCUUGAAGACAUAUUUCCAUUUAAGAAAUACGCCUUAACGAUCCUUGAAGAAGCAAACUAAUUCAAGAUCAAGUCUUAAAUGACCCUUGAGUUAAAGCAUUCAUAUUGCAGGACUUUAAAACACGUUUCCUACAUGUGACAAGCACAUGCCUAUAUCGCGCCUUGAAGUGGGGGCAUUUGUAGACAUGUAAAUUUUGUUGCAUGCAAAUGAUGCAUCAUAAAAGCUCCACGUGGCAUAUGCCUCAUCAUAAAUGGACAAGUCAUCAACGAUAUGUGGCAUAAAUCAAGCAAAAGAAGUUCAAAGGAAUUCCUAAAAUUCGACAAAGUGGAAGAAAUCUCCUUAUAAUCGGCAAGGGGCCCAAAUGCUCCCAAAACAAGCAAGAAUUAAAGACUGCUUGCAAAAUAGGCAAGAAAGCCCCAGCCAAGCAAGAGAAAGUGGCUGAAAUUAAGACACAAAACAUGCCUAAAUUCUCCCAUGGAAGAAUUAAGACACAAAUCACGGCCAAUCCAUCCAAAUGAAUGGCUUUGGAAGUCUAUAAAUACAAGGUCCCUAGAUAAGGAUAAGGUGGACAAUUUCUACAUUGAAGGGCCAAAAUACUCACAAAAGGAUAACCUCUGCCAAAUCUUUGAAGACUAAUACAUUGCCAAAGCUUUAUUCGAAGAACGUAUAACCAAAGCCGAAGCUUUCUUUCGACCAAAGCCGAAGCAUUCCCUUAAAGAAUCAACAAGCAUUUGUGCCAAUUGAAGGAAAAAUUUUGUCCUAGCUAAGAACAAGUAAGAACAUUUGAAUACAUAUGCAUACUAUUAACACUUUAAAAUAGGCAUGCAUUAAAAAACAAUUCAUAAAACCCAUGACUUUCAAAGCCUAGUUUAUGGUGAACCAAUAAACUCUUUAACAACAUUAAAGAGAAGUAAAGAUUUAAAGUUUCUUUACCCUUGAAGCUCAUCCUUGUUUACACAAGGGAUUCACCCAAGUGGAGGGCCUUCAAGUCACCUCCUAGCUCCUUGGAUAUUUCUUGUGAUUUCCUUCUCCUUUUGUGCUCCUUUGAACUUUGUGGAUGUAAGGAAAGGAUCUCCAAAACACCAAAGGUUUGGUGUCUCUAAGUCUCCACACCAAGGGUUAAGUGUGAAGAUGAAAUGGAUGACUUAGAGAAGAAAAGAUUGCUAGAUUAAUCUCUCUAAGUGGCCGGCCUCUUUGUAGAGAGAAAGAGAGAAAAUGUUUCACCUCUUUGCCUUAAAGAAAACCCUAAUGAGAAAAUAGCUAUAAAGUUGCUUUUAUAACACUUUUCUUUGGUGAGUGGCAAACUUGCAAUUAAGCAAACUUUCACCAUCUCCUCACCAUGGCCGGCCUAUAUGUUGUGAUUGGGCUUAUUGCCCAUUUUGUUUUAGUUGUCAUACAACUUAAACAUAAUGGGCCUUAUGGACCAAAACACUUUUGGGCCCCGAAACCCAAAACCAACUUAAAAGCCUAAUACGAACCUUUCGUAUAAUUAAUUAACUAAUUAAUUAAUCUUGACCAUUCUUCAAUUAAACCAUUUAAUUGCAUAUCCAUUUCAUUUAAUUUCUUCACUAUCGCCUUACUCGCCCUUACUGUACGAUCCAUUACGGUUCCAUUAGGUUCCAAUUAGCGAGGUAGUGGGCGAUUGUUACUCUUAACGAUCGAUUGUGAAUUGAAACCACAUUUCAAUUCUCCCUUUAUGAUUAGUGUUUGCUAGUCAUUAGGGCUUCCACAAACCAUGAGUGACACCUAGCAGUAUGUCAUGGUUACCCAAGCUAAGUAGAAUUGGUUGGAGAACCUAUCCAGUUACAACUACAAUGCAAUACGGUCCUUCUCUAAUACAAUAAUCUUAAUCACAUUGUUUAAGUGAUAGUUUGUUUCAUGUCUUCUAUCCAAUGUGAUACUUUUCUAUAUGAUUCCUUUGAAUAUGAGUUGGAACAAACUUCCUAAGUCAUAUUCAUUUGCUUUGGCCAAAGACUUACGAAUCAUAUCUUAGAGUAUUCUCCUUCCACCAUGGAAGGUUAGAGAUCCCUUGUUGUGCAUUCAUAUGCCUACAUGACUAGAUAGCUUGACCCCAACAAUGCCGUGGACACUCCGAUGGAAUGCCGUUGACAUGAUCAAAGAUCAAGGACCUAACCAUUAGACAUCUAUGAUGCCUCAGGUCAAAGGACUACUUUGCAUAUUGCAACUUUCGAGUUCUUACAUGACAUGUAUGUUCGAACUCUCUUUCGAUCGUUGUUCAGUGUACUCGAUUACUCUUUCGAGCACCUAUGUGUUUGUCUUAGUGUCCAACACCAAAUGACUUGAGACUAGUCAUACUCAAGCUUGAGUCGACAUAACACAUACUAACCUUAACGGAUUGUCAAUACCCAAUUGGCAAUCCUAUGGCUAGGAACGUUUUAGGAAUGAACAUAAGAGAAUGGUCUCGAUAAUCUAACUCACUUAGAUCACUUGUCUCUUAGAUCAAAUACAUCCCUUGGAUUCCCUUAUUACUUAAACACAUGAUACAAUAAAUAGUGAUCAACAAUAAGCUUUGCCCUUCAUUAAACAUAUAAAAGUUUAAUAUAUUAAGUAUUCCAAAAAGCUAUUACAUCAAAUGAGUGGCUUUGUGGGCAUACUUCCAACACCAAUUUCUUCAAGACUUUGUUGCAAGCUUAAAACUUGUAACGGCGUUGGAUUCAAGAUCAAGUUGCCAAGACCCUUGAAUCAACAAAAUCCCAUGUCAACAUCACCUUUGCUGCAGGUCAUAUGCAAACCUAGAGGUGAAAAUUAUCCACGCAUUGUUUCAACCUCAAAACUUGAAGCAAUUGUUCAAUCGUUCAUCCGAGAUCAAGUCAUCAUGACCCUUGGAUCACCAACCUACGCAUCUACAUCAAAUUUGAAGACUGAAUUAGAGGAAAAUUUUAAAUAGAGAUCGUAACCCUACAAAUUCAUCAAUAUAAAUCUACUUUGUACACGUGUUCUCGUUUCAUUUGUUACAGAAUUUUUGUGUUUACAAUGAUGCGUACAAAUGAUUUGGCUAAAUAGCUAGUGAUAUAUAAUACGGCACCAGAGUACAACUCAUGCAACAGAAAGUCCCAUUAAGCUGGUUAAUCACAAGUUUUGAAUUACCGAGGAUGAGUAUGUGGGUUGCCUUCAAGUCAUGAAGAAUGUUAAGGCCGAUGACAAGGGCUUCGUACUCGGCCUGAUUAUUAUUAUAAUUGAAAUCUAACUUGAGAGCAAAAUACCAUCUGUAAUGGUCAAGUGAUUGGACGACAAUGCCAACACCGGCCGAGGUCGCAGUACUAGAGCCGUCGAAAUACAUCAUCCAAAAAUUAUCACAUGUUAAUACCAUGCCAAUCUUGACAUCGUUGCCCCCAAAACCGCAUGGAGAAGGAUGUUGGUCUAAAAAAUCGGCCAAAGCUUGACCUUUACGACUUUUUAAGGUAUGUACUGCAAACUGAAUUUAGAUAAUGCCAUUCUCCAUUUUCCAAUUCGACCUUUGAUUAUUAGUCAAGUAACCGUAUAUCGAUUAACAUCCGUUUGGGCAAUGACCUAAGUAACGGAAGGGAGCAUGUAAUGCCUGAGCUUAGAUACGGUAAAGAAUAAAGCCAAGCAAAGUUUCUCGAUGGCCAAAUAAUUUAUCUCAGCUGAGUUGAGAUUUAGGCUGAGAAAAAGAAUGGCUUGUUCCCUACCGAUGUCAUUAUCUUGUGCAAGAAGACAACCAAUGGAUUCUUCAGCAGCUGAGAUAUAUAACUUGAGUGUUUUGCCACGCUGAGGUGGCGUAAGAAUAUGAGGGCUAGUAAGGGAGACCUUGAUUUGUGUAAAGGCGUCUUGAUGUUCAUCUCACCAUUUGAAUCAGUUAGAAUCUUUAAAUUUGAGAAGCGUGAAAAAAGCCUUCAUUUUUUUACCGAGUUAAAAAUAAAUCAGCAAAGGAAGUUAAUCUUGCCAAGCAAGGAUUGUAACUACUUCUUAGUUGUUAUGGUGGAGCAUCGAUGAUCCCAUGAGCCUUGUCCUUAUCUACCUCUAUGCCUCGAUGAUGCACAAGGAAUCCUAAGAAGUUUCUUACAGAUACGCCAAAGGCACAUUUAGCGGGGUUCAUUUUGAGUUUACGCUUGCGCAUGCGAAGAAAAGUAUGCCAAAGAUCCUCUAAAUGUGUUCAGUAGCGUUUGGACUUAACUGCGACAUUGUCGAUGAAUACUCAACGAUUUUGCCAAUCAGGUCGUGGAAAAUGGUAUUCAUCGUACGUUGGUAUGUGGUACCCGUAUUCUGAUAGGAGCAUAUUUAUGCGACUUAGUUAGCUUGUUUUCUUGCACUUUUAUAGUUAGUUUGUGGUUAUUAUAGUGUUUUAAUCUAUUUUUGUGUGUUUGUAGGUCCAAAUGACAAAGUAUGCAAGAAGGUGCAAUUUGGAGCCUUUUGGAGCAGUUUUGAGCAUAAAAUGGAUAUCACAUGCUUGGAGUCAAAUGGAUGGACGAAAUUGAAGAUCAAAGGAGGCAAGAAAUGAAGAAAUGAACAUGAAGAACAAAGAGUUCAGAAUUGGAAGCCAAAGUUUCUAAAGUUGGAGGUUUUCAUUCUUGCAAGUUUCUAUUCUUGGAUUGGAAGUUUCCUAAUCUUUUUUCACCUUGGUUCCAACCCUUGCCACACCUCUCAAGCUUCUUCGCUCUUGGAUUCUGAUUUGUUAGGCCCUUUUCCUUGUGGAUUUGGGUUCUACAAAUCCUUUUCAGAAACUAAGUGGGCCAAAAAUCCUUUUCUUUGUUGAUUUAAACCCUAAACCGAAUCCUUAGGCCCUAAGCCUUAAAAUCUGCUAAGUUUAAACCUUAAUCUAUCUCCCCUAGGGUUGUGCCACACCUAACACUUUUAGAAGCCUAAAAAUCUGCACAAACCCUAGUUCUUUUCUCCCUUGGAUGGGUCAAGCCUUUUAUCUUCAAAACCCUAACCCUUUUCUCAUCAGAUUUUGUGAAAACCCUAGCUUUGCCGUGCCUAUAUAUAUGUGUUUUUAAAGCCUAAAUUCGUCACCACCCUUCACACUAUUUAGAAACACCUUGCCCAACCCUAAUCACCAUUCUACAUCACAAAACACCAUCCUACAUCCAUAUACAUCUCUGCCGCACCUUUUGGAGAAGAAUGAGAGCCUUGUCGUGCAUUCCAUUGAUGAAGGAGGGCCUUAUGCGUAAGCCAUCUGCAUCAUUGGGAGUUUUAAGAGUUCUUUCUUCCCUCGUUUCAGUUUUGAUGUUUAUUUUAAUUUGCUUUUCAAUUGCUAUGAACAUGUGGAACUAAACUCUUAUUAGUUAGUGGUGAAUUUGAAGCCAUGGACAUAUGUUAAUAUGAAUUGAUUCCUUUCAGUUAUUGUUUCGUAAAACAUGAAUACGAUUUACUUAUCUAUUUGAUUGAUAACUUAUUCUUGUGUGUUGAUUAAGGAGGCCUACUUAGUUUGCAUGCUUGAAUCUGAUGCUAAAUUAUAAGGGACUUUCACCUAAUCGUUAGAAACUUAUAAUUACAAGUAGUGGAGAUUGUUAGUCACAAUCGUGUUAAGUAGAUUCUUGGCAAAAGUAUCAUGCAGUUCAUAGUUAUAAUUGCCUUGUCAAUGCUUAUGAUUUCCAUGGAAUUUAAUGAUCUUUGAAUGUAUCUCUAUCAUGCUGUUCAUAUAGGGAACUUGAGAAGAAUAAUUUGGGUUGUUACAUGCAUUCAUCCAAUUCAAUGAAUUUAGGGAAAUCUAAUAGUUAAUUUGUGCAUUCACGAUUAAUUUGGGUUGUCGUUCAUGGUUUAAAGAAACAAUACUGGAAAUUGAUUUAUAUUGCAUAUGUUCAUGUGUGGAGAAGGAUCCUCUAACUAUCUUUUCACCCUUGAAUUCAUCUCAAUUUCGUUUUAGUUUACUUUGAUUUGCAAUUUGUUUAGUUUUAAUUCAAUUUCGUCAGAAAUCAAACACCCUUUUCUGUUGUGUUAUUAGGUCAUAAUAUGUCCUAAUUAGGUUCUUUAGAGUGUUUUGAGUCAAUAUAGGUUAGAAUUAGUCCAUAAACAUUGUUUGGGUCUUAUUUUAGUCUUAAAUUCGUCUAAUUUCAUCUCUAGAAUCUGUUUUGAGUCUAAUUGUUCGUAUUAUGUUGUUUUGAGUCUUUUAAGUGUUUUCUGAGUUAGUUAAGUUACAAUCUGUUUUCUUUUAAUCUUUUGAGUCAAAGUAAGUUUUAAUUUCGUCCACAUCACUUGUUAGGUUUAGAAUUGAGUCAAUUUCACUUAGUUUUGCAGAUUUGAGUGUCUUAGGUCAGUUUAGAGUCUAUAGAGUAUAUUCUUGUGUUUUUAAGUCUAGUUUAGUGUUUUAGAGUUUAAUUUGAGUAGAUUAGCAGCCCUAGUUAAUCCGGUUUAGAACGAUCCCUACUUACAUCUUUGCUACAAUUGUCAUCAAUAGGGUUUAAUUUGUGUGUCAAGUAAUUUUCACAUCACAUUCUUAAGUCCAAAAGAAAUGACGACCUAUUCGUAAGUCCCUAGUGCAUUGGGGCAUUGAAACAUAGUUUUAUGGAUGUCGGCCUCGACGAUAAAAAUUUCAUGGUUUGUCACAACAUCGAUUAAUAAAUUUGAAAUUCGCAUUGGGUAUUCAUCUUUAGGGGCUGCUAGAUUCAUAUUACAAAAAUUGAUACAAAAGCGCAAGGCAUCAUUCUUUUUUAAGGCUGGGACAAUAUUCCCCAACCACUCAACGUAUCGAGCUAUCCGAAUAAACCUGGCAUUUAAAAGUUGAACUAUUUUGUCUUUUAUUCCGAGCUGAACUUCGGUCGAGAAUUGGCGUGAGGGUUAGCAGAAAUGUUUACAGCCGGGUUUAAUUCGUAGCUCGUGUUCAACUAAUGUCUGAUCAAGGCUAGGCAUCUCAUGGUAGCUCUAAGCAAAACAAUCUUUAAAUUCCUCAAGUAAUUUACAAAGUUCGCCUUUCAUAGGCUGAGGCAACAAAGCCCUAAUAAAUAAAGGCUGAGGUUCAUCGGCCGUCCCAAUAUUUAUUUCUUCUAAAGGAUCUUUGACUUCAGGCCUAUUAUCUUUAAGCUUGGCUGGUGCAGCCUUAAUUUCGUCGAAGGACAGCUUUGUGCUGUUAUCUCAUUUAGCGAGAAACUCUACUAAGUUCACGCUAUAAUUCGGCUCCUUGGAAUUGGUAUACCAGUGGGACAAUAGUUGUUCCAUUAUAGAUGAAACCAAUGCCCUUCGUUCAUCCCAUCGUGUUGUGUCAAUCAUCAGGACAAUUGGCUCAGUUAGCAAAUCUGAGUCUUGCCGAAUCCUACUGGAUGGUCUUAGCGCCAACCUCGAUGGCUUUCUGGACAGAGAUUUUGGUCGGUCUACUUUAUUCGUUAAAGCCUUGUAAAGUGAUGUAGCCGACCUAGCCAACUAAUGAUGGGCUUGAAUCAUGUUAGCCUCGAACGGCUGAUUAAUUACUGGAUAAACUAUGGCCGAUUUGCCGUAAAAAAAAAUAAGGACCUAGUAUAGUGAAAAAGGCAUACAACCAGUCUGGUGGAUCCAGUCACGACCAAGCAACGCAUUGUACUCGGUCUUGAAGUCAACUGUAAAAAUUACGAUCAUGUGGUUUCGACUUGCGAUAUUGACUUCCAAAGGGAGUACUCCUUUAGUCUGGGAUUUGUCGCGACAAAACUGUUCAUAGUUACACCAGAUGGAAUGUGCUCAUCUUUGGAACGGCGCAAAGCUUUCAUUAUGAAAAUAGGCAUGAUAUUGACCAUUGCUCCACAGUCAACAAAAACUUUAGACAUCAGAUAUCCCCCGAUAUGGGCCGUCACAAACAAUGGCUUCAAGUGAUGGAGGUUGACGACCAAGGAACAGGGAAAAAGCUCAACUAAUGCUACUUUGAGCUUUUCCUAUUUGCCAACGGUAUGGCCUCUUCGACAUCCACGAACUCGACUUACGUUGUUUCUUCGGUAACCACAUCACCAUCCAAAAAAGCUUGGUUGGGACGUGGUUGGCUGGAAUUCUGCAGAUAAGACAUGGACCAUGCUAAUUUCCAUAUUAUCGAUGAUUGAUGGACCUAUUGGAUCAUGAUCCCCGUCUUCUGGAUUUUCUAGCAUAGCAUAUUGAUCAUUGGUCACCUCAACGACAUCGUCUUCUACCAAAGGCAAAAGAUACGCACUUAGGUACUUGGUGUGGCCAUUUUAUAUUCAACUUCUACAACUUGUUCUAUCGAUGGGACUUGAUCUUGUGUUUGCAAAGCCUUGCGAACCCACUCUUGAUAUGCGAUGUGAGCAUCUUGCGUAUCUAGGUAAGCAUCCAACCUUCUAACUCGCUGUCUAUUCGGCUGUAAGGCCGAAUUGGGAUACGGUCGAAAAAACCUUAAAAUGAUGCCGCAAAUAUUGCAGAUUGUCUAAAGAUAAUGAGAGGUAUGCAGGUCUAAAUCGGUGUAUGGUUUGACGUCAAAACCUAGAAUACUGGCUUCGCGAAUGUGUUGGAAUCUGGCCAUCAUUAUUAGAUUUAACCAUUGGGAGGCCGUAUAGGUCGUUAACUGAAUUCUAUUUGUGAAAUUCCUGCAUGUAUUCUAGAGCCUCACCAAAAAACGGCGGAUGGCAAUUCCUUUUAACUUUAAUCAAUGGCGAUUACUUUCAACCUCAUUUCUUAAAUGCUUGAUACGAGCCUUCAUUUCUCCAAGCCGAAGAAGAAGUUUGAUUCGUUUCUUAGAUUCUUCAAUCUCAUUUUCAAAAUUGCAAUCAAUUACGUUCUUUCCUCGGAGUAACUCGGUUAUGAUUGUCGGAGGUUGGCUAUUAUCCUCUUUUCUUGCCGUCUCUUUAAGCUGCCACUUCAUGACUGAAACUUCUUAUGCUGUUCGUAGACAGGCCAUGCAGCCCAUCUUCUGUAGACGACAUUUUUGGGAUUUAGACAAAAUGGUAUACAUACCGGAAAGAAGAUUAUAAUUAUGCCACUGGUGGUCUCAUGGCUUAAGUGGUUUGAAAGUUCGUUGGGUCGUUGAUGAACUUGAACUUCCAAAGUUGUAUACAUAGUAAUCUUUAUCAUAAAAUGGCCCUUCGAAAUCAAGGCGCCGUCUAAUUGAAGGCGAUUGGUAAUUCUAUUGUUGAGGGUCGAGUCUAUCAAAAACCUUUUGCUGUCGUUGUCUCGAGGUGAGCACUGGUUAAGAUUUCAUUGAAACCAUAUAUAUAGGUUCGACUGAUGGUUUCAGUAGUCUUGGCUCGGUUAUGACGACUUUUGAUUGGCAUUUACUACAUAAGAUUAUUGGGCUCUCAGUCUCAUCAGAAUUGGAGACAGAUGCCGGUUCGACAUACACAGGAUUCGAGAAGAACAUGGGGGGUCAUUUUCGUUGAAAAAUUGAUUUUCAAGUGGCCGAGGAUUCUGUUUUGUGACGUGAUAAAUCGGGAUGUACUCAGCUUUUAUUUUUUUUCUUAUCCUUCAGCAAAUGGACGUCCACCAUACGUAUUGUUGCCGAAGGGAAAUGAUCAGCAUCGACUAACAUCUGUGUCUUUUCUGGGAACUUUAGUUUGCCACUAUCGAUCCAGCUUUGAAUAGCAUUAUGGAACACGAAGCAGUUAUUUGUUGUGUGUUUGUUUAAGUUAUGCUACUUGCAGUAUGUUUUCCUUUUUAAUCUUCGACCUUAGGAAUGUCAUGCCCUGGCUGAAGCUUGAUGAUCUUUGUAAGUAGUACCUGGUCAAAGAUAACAUCAGCCUUGGUGAUGUCAAAACCUUUGAUGUUUUGAUGACUACUUCAACAAAGGGCCAAGUGCGUUUUGACAUCUUUGGAACUAGUAUGAGCCAGUGCCUUGUAUACAUAAGGUUUAUUGAUUACUAUCUUGGUCGCGUCAAUGCUAACAUGUUGGGACUCGUCACCCUCGACUGAUGCAUAUCCUUCCGUUGGGUUCUUAUAAAUUGUCCCACGGGUUGGAGUUUUCGAGAUCUUUUCAUCUUUAAGCGGAUAAUCAUAUUGCUCGACAUGUUGAGCCAACUUAUACAUAUCUCGAAAGUUUUCCACUAAGUAUUUCUUCUUGUAUUCUACAUCUAGGCCAUUCUGGGCAAGCCUAACAAAUUCCACCUCAAGAAGGGGUACUCGACACCAAUUCCUAGCCGAUUUGAACUUGGUAAAGAAGUCCAUCGGUGACUCAUCAGAUGAUUGUGCCAUCCUAGCUAAAGAGGAGACUGACACUUCUUAUUCUGGUCGAUAAAAUUGUUUAUAGAAUUUCUCAACCAGUUCCUCCCAGUUUUGUAUAGAGUCCAGUGGAAGGUUAAUGUACCACGUAAACGUUGUGCCUGUCAACAAGAAAUUAAAUAGUUGUCGUUUAUAAAAAUCAAUGUUGACAUCUUCACAUUGGGCAAUGAAUCUAGCCACAUGUAUAAAUGAGGACAACGACGAUUUCCUAGUGAAGAAACUGAAAUCUGGGAUCUUGAAUCGUCGAGGAUAUUCAAGCCUUUCUACAAAGGCUAGAUAUGGAUGAAUAAAAUUUGGAAAUUUCAACCCUUUUUUCAAGGCUGAAUCGAUCAUCUUCUAGACUUCAACCAUACACACUAGUGUUGCUUCUGUUCUUUGGCCGAAUUCAGCCGAACUAGUGCUUGGUUCACCGUAUGCUUUCUCAAGAUCGAUUAUCUUAGGUCGAGUGAGUUCUAUCUUAGCCGGUAUUAGCAACAGCCCUUCUUCACCCAAAGGAACAUUCUUGAUAAAACGCUGCCUAGGUUGAUGACCGGCUCAUUUUGGUGAGCAUUGUUAACUAAAAUUUCGAGCAGCUUGUUAUUCAAAACACUUUUAUCACGUACUACUUCAACACUCUUAUCACGUACUACUUCAAGUAGGAUUUUCAUCUCUCAGCCAAACAUUUGCCCAAACUACCAAGAUUGUUCUUCCAAUCAUCGUCGGAGUAAAGAUUUAGAUGGUGGACCAGAGCUCUCAUUGUCGUCGUCACAAUCCUCUACCAAACCUUCAAUAAAACCAUAUUUUGCCAUCUUGGUAAUCUGGAUGAAGACCACGGCAUCAUGAUUCUGAUUGCUGAGAUUAAUUUCCUUCUCUUGGUGCACCCAACCUGUGGCUUCAAGUGUCAUGGCAACAGGAGGAUCUUACGACUACGACGCAUACUGGACUCUGAACUAUAGGUGCUAAACUGGUGGUUGGUUGAUCCAUAGUUGUUUUCUUUUUUAUUGACCGUGUUUCAAUGGUCAUGAACUUCAUAGCCUUAGCACUGGGUCCUACUGGGCGUGCCAAAAUUGUGACCCUAAAAACUACUUAGUCUAGUGGUGCGCAUGCCAAAUAAUUAAUAAACGAAAUUUUAAUUUGCAUCAAAUAUACCAACUUUUUUAAUCUAAAAUGUACCGAUUGUUCUUUUAUAUAAAUGUACCCAUUGUUUUUUUCUAUUAUAAAAUGUACCCAUUUUUUCAUAUAAAGUGUACCACCUUUUUUGUAUUAAAUAUACCAACUUUUUGUAAGGAAAAUGUACCUAUUAAAACUACCAAUUUUUUUGCAUGUGAAAUGUCAAUAAUAUAAGUAAUGACAAAUCAUGUCAUUAAGAUAAAUUAUACUUUUUUAUAUAAGUGUAAUUUAUUUUAUAAUAUUUUCAAUCCCACGAAUCAUGGUUUUAUUUAAAAUCUCAUUUAAUACAACUAUAAAUAUCAUAUUUCAAUUUAAAAUUAUAAUAACCUAUAUAGAAAUGCAUUAUUGUAUUAAUUCCAGGGACUUCAAUAAAAAACUAAAAAUCAACAAAGUUUUAAUCGAAGAACGUUGAUAAAUAGGGACCACAUUCAAAGUAACCCUUAGUGUGUGUGUGUGUGUGUGUGUGUGUGUGUGUGUAACACACCUUUGAAGUUUAACUUUCUUUGAUAAAUUUUUCCCAAAUUUUAAUCCAAGAAUUUAUUUCAGAACCAACAUAAUUUUCAAUAAUAGAAUGUAAGAUUUUAAGACAAUAGAUUCGCCAAACACUGAGAUUUUAUUACGUACUUUCAUUAAGUUGAAUGUAAGAUUUUGUGAUAAGCACUAGUGUAAAUAUUUUAAACUCAUGAUCAGGUUGGUUCAUUGGAUUAUUCUAGGGUUGAGGAGUAUAUUUCUAAAAAAAUUAUCUAAAUUGGAGUAAAAAAAAUGUUAAAUCGUGAAUUUUCUUUUCUAACCGUCGAAUGAUUUCGUUCCGUUACCUAAUCUCCUAAAGUUCAUUUUUGGUGAUUUUUAGUGUAUGUGAUCUCGGGGACAGUUGAAUCAUUGAAAUUAGUUUCGUAAACUGAGUAUUAUGUCAAAACAAUAGAUUCACAACAAACACUUAGAGUUUAUUCUAUACUUCCAUUAAGUAGAACGUAAGAUUUUGUGGAAACCACUAGUGUACAUAUUUUUAAUUGGUGAUCGGAUUAGUUCAUUGUAUUCUUCUAGGGUCGAGGAGUAUAUUUAUGAAAAAUCAUCAAAAUCAGAGCUAAAAUAAACGUUAAAAUCGUGAUUUUAAAGGUCCACAUAAUACAUACCAAAUUUUUCCCUUUGUGCGAAAACUUUGCCUGAUGAAUGGUACUUUACCCCUCGAACUCCAUUUGUUAGACAAAAGUCAUUGAAAAGGCAAAAACGGUGACCACUUUUGCUUGAAACGUUUAGUUGUGUCAGGCAAAUGACCUUUACCCGGCGAAAGAUUGUCCAUCGGGCUAAUGGUACUUUCUAGUAGUGAAUAUAUGUAUAAUACAUAUAAAAUAAUUUACUUUGAAAAUAAAAAAAAAAAUGUUGUUUGAUUCAAAAUUAAUUUACUUAUAAUUUACAUAAGUAUAAGUAAAUUAUUUGCACAAAUAUAUAAUAAUAACAAAAUCUGCCUAAUAUAUGUAAUAAUACAUGCAAAAUAAUUUACUUACAAUGAUGACCACCAAAUAAAAAAAAUUGGGAGACAUGAUUGUAAGAUAAGUAUAAAAAUAAUGUGGAAAACUCAUGAGUGGAUUAUUUUGUAAUAAUAAGGCACUUAUGUGCCAUAUAUGGUGGAUAAUUAAAUCCAUUAACAUAAUUAGAGUGUUGUGACACAUUUGUAAAUAUUUUAGUAAUUGUAAGUCACUUAUUUGUCUACUUGGCAAUUAAUAUGAAAUUCAAGUUUUAUUUGGAGGUUUAAAAGGUGAUGAGUUUUUGUCUAGAAAUAAGUUGCAAAAGCUUAUCUCUAAACAACUUUAAACAUCAUUGAUAAUAGUUCUUUUGGUAUCAUGUCGCAUUAUGAUGAGUUAUUGAGUAAUCGGCAUCAUUCAAAUUUAGUUUUUAUCAAAUUAAGAGUUUCUACAAGUCUUUGUCAUAGUAGGAACAAGAUCAAGAACACAUCGCUGAAGUUUAACUUUUAUAAAUUCUUCCUAAAUUUUAACCUAAGAAUUUAUUUAAGAACCAGCACAAUUUUCAAUAGUAGAACAAAUGUGUGGUAUUCGAGCAACAUGAUUUCCAGACCUCAUCAUAAAACAUGAUUCAAACCUCAAUGGUCUUCUCAGUUUUAAUUUCACACCUUACCUAUCUUUGUCCUUUCCCCAUAUCCUUAUCAGUAUUCAGUAAGCAUGUGAAAAUUUAAAAAAGGGUAAAAAUAUAAUUAACCUGUCGUAUCACUUUCACCUUCUGAUUUUAGGUUAUAUCCAUACACGCGUUAUGCAUGUGGAGACGAGAUGGCAUUGUCACGAAGGAUGCAGAGACUACAUUUGGGCCACAAAGACCAUACAAAAGAGGUAUAUAACAUCAUUUUCACCAGUUUGCACUAGUUUUGGUCGAGGCGAGAUGGCAGGGCCAGGUGGUACGAACACAAAAGCAGUGCAUUUCAGCCUUGCGUUUUCUCUUCCAACACUUUACGUACAUGAAAACAAAUCAAUUAAUUUCCUGAUUUCACACUGCAUGCAUUCAGAUCCAAAACGUGCUGCACAUGUUUUAUGUCCUCAUCGCUAGCUCUUCACUGGUAGGAAAUAGAACGCUUGGUGAAUGCAGUGAUCGAAUGGGAUCAAGAAAUAGGCAAUUUAGAGAUGACCGUAAAAUCAAAAGAAUGGAACUGCCAGACCUCAAGACUUUUCAUUCUUGCCUUGUACAAAAGCGUGUUUUGCUCAAAUUUUCUUUUAUUCAUCCUCAAAUGUACAACAUAUAGUAAAUACAAAUUUUCUUUCAACUUUGGUUUAUGUCAAAUUAAGAGUUUCAAUAGGUUUUUAUUAUAGUAGGAACAAGAUAAAUAACAUAUCCAUUGUUAACUUUCUUUUAUAAGUUCUUCCUAAUUUUUAUUUUUUUGAACAAACGAUAGUAUCUACACCAAUAAUAUAGGAGAGUGAGCUAAAUGGCAUAAUGAGUAAAAUAAUGUGAUUCAAAUCGCCUUUGGCGAGAUUUUAACAUAAGAAUUCGGUUUUAAUUCACAUCUUAUCUAUCUUGGUCCUUUCACCAUAUCCUUAUCAGUAAGCAUGUGAAAAUUGUAUAAGGUGUUGGAUUUAUCCAAUAUAAAUCAACCUUUAAGUGGUCUACUAUAUGUAAUAGGAAUGUAAUAUUGGAGAAUAAUGUUAAUUGUGAUUUGAUCUCUUAAAGAUAUCAAUCCUAUAUAAGGUGUCUUAUAUUGGAAAUAGGAUUGAUGGAAUCCUUAAUUGAAUAUGAUUAUGAUGAUACUUGACUUGGAGGCUAAUAAAGUAAGUUUAGGUUUCCUUUAUGGAUGGAAACCCUAGCUUUUAGCCUAUAUAAAACACCGGUCCCUAUAAGCCCUAGAACACACAACAUAAUGCUUCCCAUAGAGUAGUUGUAUUCGGCUAGGAACUUAUAGAAGAUCUUGGUGUUGCCAUGCCCACUUCCUUUCGUGUUCGACUUCCAUGGCUACCGUUGGAAUCAGGUUAGUCACUCAUUCGUUUGUGUUUUAAUUGUAUAACCUAAUAAGGCUAACAUAAGGGUGAAAAGUAUAGCCUGUUGUAUCACGUUCACCUUCUGGUUUUAGGUUAUAACCAUUCAGGGAUUAUGCAUGUGGAAAAGAGGUAUAUGCCAUUAUUUCACCUUUUAUGGUAGAGACGAGCAGGCAGGGCCAGGUGGCACAAACACAAGGAAGAUUAUGGAUUUGUGGACGUGCCUUGCGUUUUUUUUUACGUAUAGAUCCAAAACGUGCUGCACAUAUUUCAUGUCGGCAUUGCUAGCUCCUCAUAUAUAUUUAACGAGGACACCGAUAGGAAAUAUAGCGCUUGGUGAAUGCAGUGAUCCAAUGGAAUCAAUAGAUAGGCAACCACAAUCGUGACCUUUUGAGUUUAUGGAUCAUUUUGUUAUAGGGAGUUGUGCAGACCCAACAAGACUUGUGAUCACUAUUUGACAUUUCUACUUCACACUUUAUGAAUGGUUGAAAAUGCUUGAUGGAUAAUCAAGCGGCACUCCCAUAAUUUGUGUGAACAUGACUUACCUCCUAUAGAGGGAGAAAAUGUACAAGCCAAAGAGGGUAAGUGAAGAAGGGCUUAACGCAUGGGACAACGUCUAUGGCGUCAUCAAAACCCUCAAUAGUGCGGCUAGAGAGUCUAUAUAUCUUUAGUGUUUCUCUUAUAUGCCUUUAACACUGAGUGCAAUUAGUUUUGUUCUUUAAAGAAAACAGAGAAGAACACAAGCCAAAACACAUAUGCACCGCCUAAAUUCUAUUGAUUCAAGUGAGAGAUAUUGUUUACACUUUUAAAUGAAUCACUCCAUUAUCAGUUGUACUUUCAAAACUUUCUUAGUAAUUUAAAUGAAUUUAUAAUUAUUAUGUCAUGUGCAAAUAUAAUACUAUAUGCAGUUUUCUUAAACUCAUUAUAUGGCCAAUUUCUUUGACAUGUGUAUACCACGAGUGUUUGGAUCCCAUGCCAAGAUAAUUCUAGUCUUUUUGGCUUUAUUUGCCUAAAAUAUUUUGUUCUCGUCUCAUUCAUUAAGGCAUAUAUCCACUCUGUCCAUAAAUUGCACAACAGUUCAAUUUAUUUUUGUGUAGUUAAGAAAAUGCAUUUAGCUCCUCAAAUUUAUUUUCUCUACAUUAAGUCCGACAUAAUAUUUUUUCUUAAAGAAUACUUAGUGACUAGGAUCCAUAAAUGUAAACUCAUUAAUUAUGAUUUACUUUACACAUUUUACAUUUUUUAGAUGCCUGGCAUAUCCCUAUUGCAUGUAUGAUAUGCACAAUUAAUUCUAUACAGAUUGUAAACACAAUUAAUUCUAUGCAGAUUGUAAGAGGCAGGACUAAUGAUUUUGCAAAAGAAAAAAAGGAGAAAAAGACAUUAAUGUUACAAAUUUACGAUUACAAUAAAUCUUGGAUAUUAAUGGGAGCUUUAUAUAUAUAGAGACAAAAAACUUUCACUACAUUUCAACUUUGAAGGACCUCCACUAGUUUUUAAACAUGUCAAUGAGAGACAAAACAUAAAAAUAACUAAAGCCCAUCCCAAAGACAUGGAAUCAAUGUUUUAAAAUACCAGCCAUACCUCUAAGACUUUAAGGCUGUUACUAGAGCCUAGCCCUCACAACUCCAACAAGUCAAUAUGUGCCAUAAGCUUAACCCAUCCUCGACUAUUUUUACAGAAUCAAUUUUCAAAAUAUAGGUAAAAUUAGUUUGAAUCCCUUUUACUGGAAUCAGUUCAAUCAGUCAUCGUCAUGAGUGGAUAAUUUUGUAAUAAUAAGGCACUUAUUUGCCAUAAUUAUGGUGCAUAAUUAAAUUCGUUAACAUAAUCAGUGUAUUGCGACACAUUUGUCAAUAUUUGGGUAAUAGUAUGUCACUUAUCUGUCUACUUGGAAAUUAAUUUCAAAUUCGAGUUUUAGUUGGAGGUUUAAAACGUGAUGAGUUUUUGUCUAGAAAUAAGUAUUGCAAAAGGUUAUCUCUAAACAACCUUAAAUUUCAUUGAUAAUAUUGCUCUAGGUAUCAUGUCCCACUAUGAUGAGUUAGUGAGUAAUGGGCAUCUUUCAACUUUGGUUUAUAUCAUGUUAAGAGUUUCUAUAAGUCUUUUUUAUAGUAGGAACAAGAUAAAGAACCCACUGUUGAAGUUUAACCUUCUUUCAUAAAAUCGUCCUAAAUUUAACCCAAGAAUCUAUAUAAGAACCAACGGACAAUUUUCAGUAGCAGAACAAAUGUGUGGUAUAUUCGAGCAACAUGAUUUCCAAACCUCAUCAUAUAACAUGAGUCAAACCUCAACAGUCUUUUCAGUUUUAGCUUCACACCUUACCUGUCUUUGUCCUUUCCCCAUAUCCUUAUCAGUAAGCAUAUGAAAACUGAAAAAGGGUAAAAAUUAUAGCCUGUUGUAUCACUUUCACCUUCUGAUUUUAGGAUAUAUAUAUCCAUACACGCGUUAUGAACGUAGAGACGAGAUGGCAUUGUCACAAAGGGUACCGAGACUACCCUUGGGCCAAAAAGACCAUGUAAAGGGAUAACAUCAUUUCACUAGUUUGCACCAGUUUUGGUAGAGACGAGAUGGCAAGGCCAGGUGGCACGAACACGAGGAAGAUUACGGAUUAGUGGAAGCAUUGCAUUUCAACCUUGCAUUCCAACACUUUACGUACAUGAAAACAAACUAAUUAAUGUCCUGAUUUCACACUGUAUGCAUUCAGAUCCAAAACUUGCUGCACAUAGAUAUUUAACGAGGACACUGAUAUGAAAUAGAGCGCUAGGUGAAUGCAAUGAUACAAUGGGAUCAAGAAAUAGGCAAUUUAGAAAUGACCACAAAAUAAAAAAAAUGGAACUGCCAGAUCUCAUGAUUUUUCAUUAGGAGACUUUGGAUGACGUUUGUAGCUAUGAAUAUUCUUUGACUAAAACCUUAUUGGUUUUCAAAUUUUUAUCGAAGUUCCUGAACUUAAUGUGAUAAUUUAUUUCUAUGUAUGUUACUAUAUUUUUUAAAUUAAAAUUUAUAGUUGUUUAUAUUAAUGAGAUUUUAAAUAAAAACCAUAAUUUGUGGGAUUAAAAAUAUUAAAAUAUAAAUAUACUAUUGUGUGUGUGUAUAAACAUGGGUACAUUCAUCAAAAUUAACCAAAAAAUUAUUGUACCAAAACAUGGGUACAUACUUUAAAAUCACAAAAGGAAAAAAAAAAGAUAUUUGGCUUACUAACAUUAGUAAAUUUCUUCGAUGAAACUUGACAUGGAUACAUUCUCAAAUCAAAGAAAAAAAGAAUGUACGUACCCAUAUAAGUUAAAAAUUGAUUUAAAAAAAUUGAAUAGAUUUUAUAUAAAAAAAGUACAUUUUACAUAUAACAAAUUGGUGUAUUUAAGAAUGAAUACAUUUUAAGAUUAAAAAUUUGAAAAAGUUACAUGAAUGGGUACAUAUAAUUUUUUAUUUAUUUUGGAAAUCUUUUGAAUUGAAAAAUAGUUAGGAGUUUAAUAAAGGUGUGGGUAUUAAAAUUCUAAAUCAAUUAUUAAUUUCAUUUUAAAAAAUUAUGUAACUAACAUGUAAAUUCAUUAUUACAUUAAUGUUAGAACUUUGAUCAAAAUCUGAAAACUAAUAAGGUUUCAGUCAACGAACAUUAGUAAUUAGGGAUUGGAUACUAAUUUUUCUUUUUUUAUUUUUGCUUUGUAAAAAAACGUAUUUGGCUCAACCUAAUGUUGAAGAGUCAAUGAACCUGUGUAGAAUAUUUAAUACCUAAUUGUUCAAUGAACCUAAUUAACACUCAUCCCCGGCAAUACACUCUGUUGGCCAAAUAUUUCAAGGAAAUAUUUUUUAAUCCAAAGCACCGCUAGCCCGACAAGAAGUUCGUCAGACAAACUGGACUAAAAUCUUUUUAAAUAAAAUUUAAUUUUUGCACGACGACAUAUUUUGGUCGGGUCAAAACAUUUUCGCCACGCCUCAAUGGUCAAUGCAUACUUACUCGAUGAACGUUCAUGGGGUGAGUUUAUAUUGCCCGACGAAUAUUUAUUUUCGUCAGCAAAAGUGUCUUUAAUUUUGUCCAACGGGACUCUGUCGCCUUAAACCCUUCGCGGCGAACUCCUUCCUUACGAGACAUCGUCUCCUAAGUUGUUUUUGUUCUGUUGUAUAGAAAGGAGGAAAUGAACAUGCAUGUAACGUGCAAAUACUUAUUCAUAUAUGGUAUGUUGUGUUAUUAUAACUUCUUUAAAAUAAACACUGACAUUGGUAAAACUGAAUUACAACAAAUAUCCUCAAGUAUUAUGCUUAAUAAAAAGUACAAAAUAAAAACAAUUUCCAUGUAAUACUACAAAAAAAAAAACAAAAAGGCAAUUGUUAAACGCUGACAUUGAUCAAACUGAGUAGGAAAAUACAAAAAACGAAAGGCAAUUUGUUAACCUAAGUAGGAAAAUACAUCAAUUAUUUGUAUCCAUUGAAAUCCAAAGAAUGAAAAAAACAUCAUAAUAAAUUCUCCCUAUAUGUAUAUUGCCUCAUAUUUAUCCUACUAUUUUUCUUACAUGAAUUUAUUUAUUUAGCUAAAAAGUAAAUAAAUAACAUUCAAAAAGGAAUUUAAACCUCUCAAGACAGCCGACAUGCAAUUGGCGUCCUCAUUUUCAGAUUAAAUCCCGUUCUUCUAUGUAUUACACCAAUACUGAGGUUGUAAAAUUUCGAUGGCCAUUAUAUAAUCUACAUUCAGUUUUGACUUUAUUAUUUGUUUCUGUUUCAGUAUAUAACUUCCCGUGGAGAUAAUAAUGAACAAAGAACUUGAACCAUAUUCAUUAUUCACAUGUUUAAUUGUUCUGAUCUUCAAUCCACACCCUUCACGUGGCGACAUCGUGUAGAAAUGGUCCCCACUUUGAGGAUAGUGUACAAGCUCAGUUAGGUUAUAAAUAGGGCAGGCAUAUUGCAGGUGCUGCACUCACACAAGCCAAAUACAAUUACCCAGAAGCCAUCGUAUUCUCUCUUUCCCUGCCUUCAAACCCCCAAAAGAGUCACCAUGCUAGGUCUAGCAAACAAUGUGGCUGCCAAGGUGGCCUCAGUAGUUACCACUACUCAUCAACACAUUACUGGCGAUCAUGAGCUUAGCCUAUUUACCAUGUCUGACCAGAAAAUCUUGGAACAAAUUUAUGGUACUCAUGUUCAUGCUGAUGAAUCCUUUGAUGAUGAUUCUCUUUUCGGCAUCACCGAAAAUAUCCUUAAGCGUGCUACCCAAAUUGUUGACAAAAUUGUGCAGGUAUAUAUUUUUAGCUUACAUGUAACGUAUGCACGAUUAUUAAACUGUCAAAUCAUUAUUAUAGUAUACCAAAAUUAAGUCACUAAUUUUAACCAAAUAACAUAACAUGCUCUUUUUUUCUUUCUAUAUUUUUUUAGGAGAAGUGAUGGAAUAUUUACGAGACUAUUUUAUAACACAAUAACAUAAUAUGUUAUUUUAUCUAAGAAAGCAGUACUCGUGCACUUAACUCACUUCUAUGUUACUUGUGCCUUGUUUCAGGGUACCCAAGUGCACGUGGAGAACAUAGAGGAGAACACACCCAAAGCAGGCUUCAGUGCACCAUUGUGCACACUAAAGUCCAUAGCCAGCGAGGUCAUUACCUGGGAAAUUAAAUAUACAACACACACACACACACAUAAUGAUAUGUAUAUUUCUUGUAACUUUUCAUGUAUAUUCUUGAAUAUUCACACUAUCAUGGUUAAUCUUAAAAUUUCAGAUGCAAUGCAAGCCUCCUAGUGAGGAAGUUGCCCACAACACAACCCUGGCCAUACUGAACAAGCUAUCAAGCUAUUCAUGGGAAGCAAAGGCAGUGCUGACUCUAGCAGCUUUUGCCAUGGAAUACGGGGAGUUCUGGCUCCUCGCCCAGCUUCAAGAAUCAGACCGACUCGCCAAAUCAAUUGCAAUCCUGAAGCGAGUCCCCUUGCUCCUCAAGCCCUCGGACCUGCACAAGAAAAGACAAGCAGUGCUUGAACUUAACAAUCUGAUCAAGGCCACAUUGCAAGUGAUUGAGUGCAUCGACCAAUUCGAUAAGCUUUCCAGCUACGACCCAAAAGAUGUCCCAGCGUUGGCGCUAGCAAUGGACCAUAUUCCAGUUGAUGUGUACUGGGCUGUUGCCACUGUUGUUGCUUGUGCAACUAAGAUCACCAUCCUCACCUGUAAUGAGUAAGUUCUCCAUUGACCUUUAGGAAAUCGCUCUUUUGCCAGACCGUGCAUCUGGUUGAAGUGAAGUUUCGUAAUCCAAAUUCACAGCCUAACAACUUAAUUUAGCAUUGGUCUGGCAAAUAAAAAUUAUUUGUUUAGUAGUUAAUAAAAUGACCAUGGUUGCCUUCGUUUUAGGGACAAGGAGCAUGAUCUAGCCCCAUUUGCUCAAAAAAUUCACUAUGUCCUAAACAAGCUUAAGAUCCAGCUUAUUGUCUGCAGAAAACAAAUUGGUGGGUUAAAUGGAGAUGUUUCAUUUGGAAUUAUUUUCUGUACUUGCACAAAUGAAACGCUCAAGAUAAUCUUUGUUUCAUGCAUGCAGAGGAGGCAGAGACUUACCGGAGGCUAAGGAAAAUCUUCCGAACUCCUACUGAAAUCAUGGAGGUUUUCAAGGCCCUGAUUUUUACCAAGGAAAAUGUCCAGCCGCUCGUUGAUGGUUCUACUAAACAAAUGGUUUGUUCUAGUCACAGUACUAUAAUGUGUAAUUGAAUUAUUUUUACCGCUGGCACUAUGUUGCUGCAAGGAAAAUUAAAGUUAAUAAUAUGACAGUAACGUACCAUAGAAAAAGAUGGCAGUAAAGUUGCUUAGGAGUACUUUUUUGUCAUACAAAAUUUCCAACGUAAUUUUCUUGGCAUGACUAAUUUAAUUGGAACCCUAAAAUGUCACGUGGAAUAUUAAUCUUUAAUAUGCAUGUUUGUAUAUACAAUUCAGUUUUUCUACUGAGCUCCUAUGUGAUUAGUCAAUCAUAAUACUAUUUAGACACGUAAAAUAAACAUCAUUACGAACUCACUAUAAAUAAAGGUGAGUGCAACCAUUGUAUGUGAGACACACCUUUAAGGAGGAGUAUUAGCAAAGAAAAUCAGUUUUUGGUGACAUGAUUUUUCGGUUAGUCAAAUUGCUACUUAUUAAUUACUUACAACGUGCAUAAUUCAUUUAAACAGGUUAAAAUCGAUAUCCUGAGGAAGAAGAACGUGUUGUUGUUCAUUUCAAGCCUAGACAUCUCUGAUGAUGAUAUCUCAAUCCUCAAGCCCAUCUAUGAUAUGAUAAAGAAAGACAAUCAGCACAAGAUUGUGUGGAUUCCGAUUGUGGAGCAUUGGACCGAUGACCGCCGAAAGAAGUUUGAGAGCCUCCGAAAUAAGAUGCCAUGGUACACAGUGCAGAUCUCGGCACCUGUAGCAGGCAUCAGAUUCAUCAAGGAGGAGUGGAGCUUCAAGGGUAAGCCCACACUAGUGGUGAUGAACCCACAAGGAAAGGUCGAACAUCCCAACGCUCUCCACAUGAUUAGGGUUUGGGGAGUCAAUGCUUUCCCUUUCACAAAGGCAACUGAAGAAGAGCUCUCACAUGGUCACGGAGAUAAAUGGAUUGGCACUGUUGUCCAAGGGGUUAGCCAAUCUGUUACGGUAAUUUCCCUUUUAACUGUUUAAAUAUGAGGACCGCUAUUGCAACCACAUUUACUUACCACAUUAUUAACCACCUUUCUAAUACAACUUAAUCUUACAUAUAUAAGCGUGGAUACAAAAAACAUGUUAUUUUUACCGUACCGCCUCUUUAAUAAAGGUGUAAUAAUAAUGAAACAUAUUUUUGGCAAGAAGUAUAAAAUAACAAAACAUAUUAUAAUUGACGGAGAAGUGUAAAAUUGUACAAGACGCAACUCUCCCAUUAAUAGAGAUUAGUAUAGAAUAGCAACGCUCCUUAAAUCUAGAAUACAUUUCGUUAGUUAAGUUUGUGUGGUUGAUCUAACUAUGGCUUGGUCAAACAGAUCAAAGAGGACAAGUAUAUUUUCUUCUAUGGUGGCAAAGACAAUGGUUGGAUUCAAGAGUUCACAAAGAAAGCAACUGCCCUUGCAAAUGACCCCAUCUUCAAGGAAGCAAAGAUUCAAAUCGAGUUGUUCUGCGUGGGAAAAGGAAGCAAGGGGGAAGAUGACCAUGGCAUCCUCGGGAAGUUCUGGACUGGCAUCGAAAGCUUGUUCUUCACCAAGGUUCACAAGCCAGCCGACCAAGUCGGUCAAGAAAUCCAGAAGCUACUUUCUUACAAAAACGAAAGUGGAUGGGCUGUGCUCAGCAAAGGGCAUUCUGUGGUGCUCACCGGCCACGGUGUCGAUCUUGAGGGUGGUAGAGGACUUUGACAAAUGGAAGGACCAUGUGAAAGAGAGUGGCUUUGAGUUUUGCUUCAAGUCAUACCAUGAGAGGGUUCGCACUGUGAGUCGACCUUGCUGCCGCCUUGAUAUUCCAGGCUCUACCGGGAAGGUUCCAGACACCAUGAAGUGUCCUGAUUGCCACCGGAGCAUGGAGACUUUCAUCAGUUACAAGUGUUGCCACAUUGAUGGUCCUACUGCACAUCACUAAGUUCUCGUUCUACUUCCCUUUACUACUUCAAGUGUGAUGUUGGCUAGUCCAAUAAGUUCAGAGUAGUAUGUUGUAAUAUCUAUAAUAAAGGGCAACCUAGUUAGCUCAUGCAUGGUGAUACUUGAUGCCUUAUUAAUGGGGACUAGUAUGCUUAUGUAAUUGUCUUCCUGAGUAUGUUUUCAUGGUAUGUAGCUGCUACUUUAUGUAAUGCAAUGUUUAUUUGAAUAAUUUGAGAUGUCUACAUUUCCCUUAGUGUGUGUAUGAAUUAUCAAUUACUUCAAAUUGUUCAGACUUAUAUUUGAGGAAAAUAACUUCAAAUCUAAGUCCUUGGACGUUUUAAAAAUUCAAGAAAUCAUCAAAC
rnacentral:lncRNA from 1 species